rnacentral:lncRNA from 1 species
GUCUUUGAGGAAGAAUCCUGGGGGUUUAAGACAGAUGUUGAUGUGUUUAUACGUAUCGUGAUGUCGUAUGAAUAGUAUUGGGAGAAGGUUUGUUAGGGGCACCACGUGAGAUCCUGCAUUGAGGGAUCUGGGAGGUUUAGGUGUAGGAAUGGGAUGAUUUUUGGAUAUGAGUGAGAAGGCAGAAUGAGGCCUUGGGGUAGCGAAUGGACGUACUUGAGUAAGGAUGUAAGUACCUGAAGGUAUGGCUGAGUACCGUGUCAGGAUUUGGUGUCUUCUAGAGCCUGGUGGCCGUAUGACCGAAAGUCUGUGUAGACAAGUAGUAAAGAGAUAACGUAUCCUGGGCGUAAGCCUGAGGGAAGGUAGUAAUGGAGUUGAGACCGCGUGAGGUCUAGUAUUGAAAAGAGAGUGAACUAAACCUUUGUUUAAAGUACAGAGCUUGUUUAAUCGUGGCAGGUUAACUGCGUAGAAACGGUGGAAGCUUAGAUUAAUACAAGGAUCUAAGGGUUUAACCAAGAAAAAUACCAUAGUUAGCAAUAGAUGUGAAGAUAAUUGAUAGAACCUGAUAACUCAAGGUGAUAAAACCAUACCUGUUCCUGUAAUAAAAGGACCUUGAAAUAACAACUUUAAUGCAGAAAAGCAAGAGACCGAUGCAAUCUGUAAAAGCCAAAAGAUGUGACAGCGUGAUUUAUGUGCAAGGAAUAGUACGGAUUAUGUGUAAAGGGUAUAACUUGUAAAUAGUGUUUAAAAAGACUUAUCUGAGUGUUAUUAGGAAAGAGUGUUAUAGCUUGAAUUUAGACACGUAUGAAGUUUAUGAACCGUGGUGAACAUAAUGUUUAUAACAGAAAAAUACUUUAAAUGGUUUAACAAGGUAGAAAAACACAGGGCUGGUAGUUAACCAUAUAAUGUAACCGCAAACUCAUAUGAAGGAAUAAAUAAUAGUAGGACUGUGAUUAGAACUUAUGCCAGCUUAUCUUAAAAGAAUAGAAAUAACCGAAUGUAAAUUAGUAAGAUGGUGUACGUGAAUUAACCAUACGAAUAGGUUGAUGCUGAAACAACCGAACGGAAAAGUGAAUACAGAUAAUAAUGAGUUUAAACAUGAAAUAUUUAUUCGGUUGUUUCCGUAUGAAAAAGCGUAAAACGAUAGCGAAAUGAGCCGAACGUUCGUGCGUUUUUUGGCGCGAAUGGAGAUAUAAACGAAAGCGUGUAUUCGUGAAAAUGCGAAAGAGGGAGCCUACCCCUACGUUUUUAGGCCCGAACGGCGGGGAAAAAGCGAACGCUAAUUCCCACGCCUUGCUUACGUGAACGCGCCGGUCUCGUGACCGGAAGUCGGGUACCUCGACCGGAGGGAAACGGAGUGGAAGGGCCUCGGACGGACGGAGGAUUGCACAGGGGGUCUGGCUGCUGGAAACAGGUACAGUUCUGGCGGGAAGCUGGACCGGAAGUGCUGGUUGCUAAGGACAAUCAGCUGAGCGGCAGCGGUGAGUAGGGGCUGGGAGCUUAAGUAGGGGACUUACUCCUCCCACAAAUUCAGGCCUAAUGGCCUUUCUACAUAUAUAUAAUAAUUCUACGUAUUUAUUUAUGUAAUAAUUUUACAUAAAUUAGUCAUUUUAUUAAUUACAAUUUGCGGGACCUGCCUGACAACCUAGGCCAAAAGUCCAGGGAAUUUAAUUUGCUUGCACUAUAUAUAAACAAAGGAAUAAAUAGGCGGGUGAUGAGGGUGAUAAUAGGUCUCAACUCUAGUGUAGGCAAGCCACUGUACUGAGAUCACUCUAAACCCCUAUACAAAAUAAACACAAUGUCUGAACACUAGUACAGACUACAGGGCGCCACAAACACUAAGACAUAUAGUAGUAUGGUAUAGAAUAAUCCCAUAAAUGAAGAGUAAUCCGUGGAGAUAUAAAAUCCACUUUAUUGGAUUUCAAGCCAUCCAAUCACAGUGCUCUGUGUCAUUUUACACAGCGUGGGAAAGUUCUUUUUAAUUUUCCCACGCUGUGUAAAAUGACACAGAGCACUGUGAUUGGAUGGAUUUCAAGCCAUCCAAUCACAGUGCUCUGUGUCAUUUUACACAGCGUGGGAAAGUUCUUUUGAAUUUUCCCACGCUGUGUAAAAUGACACAGAGCACUGUGAUUGGAUGGCUUGAAAUCCAUCCAAUCACAGUGCUCUGUGUCAUUUUACCCCCCCCCCCAUUAUUGCCCCCACCCGCCGCCCAGGGUGGGGGCCAGGGGGGGCAGUAGGUCCCCCCCCCAUUCUAAUUAUGGCCCCCACCCGCCGCCCAGGGGUGGGGGGGGGGCAGUAGGUCCCCCCCUCAUUCUCACUAUGGCCCCCACCCGCCGCCCAGGGGUGGGGGCCGGGGGGGACAAUAUUAGGUCUCCCCCCUUAUCUUACUGUCGUUUAGGGGUGGGGGCCAAUAGUUGUUUUUUUAUUUAUUUUUACAGUGAGCAGCCACAGGCUGCUCACUGUUUAGUGGACAUGCCCCUACUCGCGGUAUAGCGAGUAGGGGCAUUGGGGAGAUUUUAAUCUCCCUUAUGCUAUUAUGGUGGUCAUAUUGACCCCCAUAGAGUGAGGAGGGGCCUCUGGGGCUUAUGAAGUGGUGGGGAGCACAGCUCCCUGCCGCUUCUAUCUUUACAUAUUACAAGGAGGGAGCUGCGUGCCGGUAGCUCCCUCCUUGUAAUAAACUGCACGAACAAGCGAACACUGAUACACAGUGUUAGUUUGUUUGGCUGAUAUUUCUAUUCACUCAUUCGUCUGUCUGAUGAAUGAAUGAAUAGGUGAAAUUCCCGUUCGCAUGUCCAGGUGUUUCACUGGGCAUGUGCAGGAAUCUCACAGUCUGUCUAGUGUGGGCUGAUGACGUGUCCCACAGGGACUUCAUCUACCCACACAAAGAUGGCGGCGCCCUGAAUAUAGAUCGGGGAAGAAAAUAAGGAUUAAAAAAUAGGUAAUGUGGGGGGCUUAGGGGCAUUUGGGGGUGACUAGGGUGUUAGUUAGAGAUAGUGGAGGCCGGAGGGGGGUUAAAAAAAAAACCAGAAUUCGGCAUGACAGUGCCGCUUUAAACUUACCCAAAUUAUACACGAAAGUCAUUGAAGCGUUGGGGUCCCCCUAUCUCCAAUGAUUACAUAAAUGCAGCAAUAUCGAAGCUAACAGGUGGUAAAGCCCUGGGUCUGGAUGAAUUUGAAAAGGACUAUCACAAAAGAUUCCAGGAAGAAUUGACCACACACUUAGAAACCCUUUCCCAGGAAAUAAUGACUGGACGCUCAAAUGAUAGAGACAUGACCGUGCCAAUAUAGUUUUUAUCCCUAAACCAGGAAAAGAUAAAAUUUUACCUGAGGCUUAUCGGCCUAUCUUCCUAAUCAACCGUGACAGCAAAAUUUAAAACUGAACCCUUUUAAACACACUUAAUCCACGCAGACGAAGUAGGAUUCAUACCGGGCAGGCUGCUCUUCGAGAACACUCGUCGCAAUAUAACUCUACUCUGGAAAUUAGCAUCAUCUUAAACACCAUCAUUUGUGCUUUUCCUCGAUGCUGAGAAAGCAUUUGAUCAAGUAAAAUGGCCAAAUAUGUUUGAGCUUCUGCACCACUUCUGCACCAUGGAAAAUGGCACCCAACUCUCCCCCCUACUCUUCCCUCUCUCCCCCCUACUCUUUGUUCUGCACUCAAAUCCCUACUGCAGGCGAUACGCAAAUACACGACGCGAUAGUGGGAAACCAAGAGUUCCUGGUCUCGGGAUAUGGACGAUGUCCUUCUCACUUUAAUAAACCCUGUAACAUCCACGCAGGCCCAGAUUCCUCUCCUCACAACAUAAAGCGCUAUCUCUGGCUACAAAGUUUGCAUGGGAAAAUCUAGUGCACUUUCCAUAACCCAUUCAGCGGCGGACGUGGCACAGAUUGAGAGCUCCUAUCAUAUACAGACUUCACACUCUUCUAUCAAAUACUUCAAUAUCAGUCUACUGGCCAACCCAUCCCAACUACAUUCACUGAAUUACUCACCCAUGAUAAACACACUAGUAUUCAACAUGGGCAGAUAAACUUCUUUCCUGGAUUGGAAGAAUACAUUCAAUAAAAAUUAUGAAAAACAUUCUCCCUCUAAUUUUUUUCCUAUUCUAAGCCAUACCUCCCUAUUUCGAAACAAGAUCUGACCCCCCUCCAGAAAGCCAUAGAUCGCUUUAUGGGACAAGACAAAAGACAUAGGGUUUCUUGUAACAUAUUAUAUAGACCGAAAGCGAGAGGAGGACUGGGGUUACUCCACCUUCACUUCUAGUACUUGGCUGCUCAGCUAGUGCAAAUAGCUCUCUGGCACUCCCCCCUGACAGUAGAUGUUGACUAAACUUAGAUUCCCUAUUGAUGGGAGCAGACCUCCCGCAAUUCUACACUUGGGCUCUUUUCCGUAUGACUUGCCCAUCUGUGAUCAAUUUCAUCCAGGUCUGAGAUAAGGUCGCUCAUAAAUAUGAGCUGAUCUCUUCCCCCUCCCCUCUCAUCCCUUUAUAUCGCAACAAGGCUUUUGUCCUGGGUAUGAGAGCCAGAGAUUUUAGAGGCAUAGAACAUGCUGGGCUACAGAGAAUUCAUCAGCUUUAUAGUGCAGAGGAAUUUUUUUCUUUGUUGAACUGCAAUAUAGAACAACCCUGUCAGAUUUUUUUCAGAAAUCUCCAAAUCCAAGACUUUUCUAGCCAACUCACUAAUAAAACAGCAGCACAAACUCAAUUUACAUUUUUUUUUAACAUAUAUGCAAUGCGGAAAUUUACCAAAAAGACAUGAUCACCCAGCUCUAUUACCAUCUCUGCUCCACUAGGAAAGAUUGGGGUGAAUUACACUACAUUGAUAAAUAGGAAUUGGAGCUCGGAAAGACUCUAGAGGGUAUUGACUGGCAAAACAUAUGGAAAGCUAACUCUAAAAACUUCCAUCUGUGUCACAGUGUAAGAAGAAUCUUAUAAAAUGAUGUUAAAAUGAUAUACCACACCAGUAAACUUGUAUCACAUGAAGAAAACUCCUAAGGAUCUAUGUUGGAGAGGCUGCAGGUCUAGGGGAACUUACGAGCAUAUGUGGUGGAGCUGCCCAAAACUCUUUUUAUUUUGGUCUGAGGUUAAGGCGCUAGUAUCCCAAAUAUAGUGAAACCAAUUGACAACUUGACUAGGGCAGAACAGCAACUGUUUAACAAAAUUACAUUGGCUGUUAGAAGGGCCCUGGCCGAAACGUGGCUAAAACCUACCAGAGCCUCCAUAAAUAUAGUACUUCAAAAACUCAAAGAGAACUUGUAAUGUUAUUAUUAUAAUGAUUUGUGUCAUAAAAUUAAGCACAAUGAGUUUAAUGCUUUAGAGGCACCACUAUGGGCAGUGUGUAGGAAUCCUUAAGCCAUGUGCUUCUGGCAGUGACAUCACAGGCCAGCCUACAUAGGACACUGGGAAUAAAAACCAGAUGUAGAAGGAUUUUGAGGCUCGUUUUGUGCCUUACCUGACUGAACCUAAGAUGUAGUACCAGCUCUGACUUGUAAGUAAUAUGAAUCCAUUGCAACAUUUAGCAACUGUUAUAGCCUUUUGUAAGGAAUAUGUUGUAGUUUCGUAUUCUAAUUAUUGUAGUACAUUUACAUUUUGCUAGCAUUGUUUAAUUAUUAUAAUUAUAUUAAAUAUACAUUUAACAUUACAGUGUUUUGUGUAUUUACCAUCCACAUAUUCACCAUAAUACCACGAACUAUAAAAAAAAAAAAUAAUAAUGUUGAUACUUAUUGCUUAAUUAUAAUAUAUUAAUUAAAAGAUUAAUAUUCAGAUUUAGGUCAUGGCCACAACAGAACUAUAUUAUGGGCAAACUGACUGCCCAAGUUCGAGGGUCUAUGAAGACCUUCUCCAAAGUUUGGAAAUGUGGGUAAACUAUAUUGACAACUAACAGGAAAAACCCCUCGGCACUACAGCUGAUACACUUAUUGCACCCUCUCUACUAAAGUUGCUCCCUCCACCAGUGCCAACCAGAGACCUCUAACCCCUGACAUAUCCUUCUUUCUAUGAGUUGGCCAACUCGUAAAGAGGCUAUACUAGAUUUAAUGUUAACAAAUGGAUAUUUGGUAUCAGAUAUUACUGUAGGUGGAAGUUUAGGAUCCAGUGAUCAUCAGUCAGUGUAUUUUACAUAGAAACAUAGAAACAUAGAAUGUGACGGCAGAUAAGAACCAUCUAGUCUGCCCAAUUUUCUAAAUACUUUCAUUAGUCCCUGUCCUUAUCUUAUAGUUAGGAUAGCCUUAUGCCUAUCCCACGCAUGCUUAAACUCCUUUACUGUGUUAACCUCUACCACUUCAGCUGGAAGGCUAUUCCAUGCAUCCACUACCCUCUCAGUAAAGUAAUACUUCCUGAUAUUAUUUUUAAACCUUUGUCCCUCUAAUUUAAGACUAUGUCCUCUUGUUGUGGUAGUUUUUCUUCUUUUAAAUAUAGUCUCCUCCUUUACUGUGUUGAUUCCCUUUAUAUAUUUAAAUGUUUCUAUCAUAUCCCCCCUGUCUCGUCUUUCUUCCAAGCUAUACAUGUUAAGAUCCUUUAACCUUUCCUGGUAAGUUUUACCCCGCAAUCCAUGAACCAGUUUAGUAGCCCUUCUCUGAACCCUCUCUAAGGUAUCAAUAUCCUUCUGAAGAUACGGUCUCCAGUACUGUGUACAAUACUCCAAGUGAGGUCUCACCAGUGUUCUGUACAAUGGCAUGAGCACUUCCCUCUUUCUACUGCUAAUACCUCUCCCUAUACAACCAAGCAUUCUGCUAGCAUUUCCUGCUGCUCUAUUACAUUGUCUGCCUACCUUUAAGUCAUCAGAAAUAAUCACACCUAAAUCACUUUCCUCAAUUGUUGAGGUUAGGACUCUAUCAAAUAUUCUGUACUCUGCCCUUGGGUUUUUACGUCCAAGAUGCAUUAUCUUGCACUUAUCCACAUUAAAUGUCAGUUGCCACAAUUCUGACCAUGUUUCUAGAUUACCUAAAUCAUUUGCCAUUUGGCUUAUCCCUCCUGGAACAUCAACCCUGUUACAUAUCUUAGUAUCAUCAGCAAAAAGACAUACCUUACCAUCAAGACCUUCUGCAAUACCACUAAUAAAAAUAUUAAAGAGAAUGGGUCCAAGUACAGAUCCCUGAGGUACCCCACUGGUGACAAGUCCAAGCUUUGAAUAUAUUCCAUUAACUACAACCCUCUGUUGCCUGUCACUCAGCCACUGCCUUACCCAUUCAACAAUAUUGGAAUCCAAACUUAAAGAUUGCAGUUUAUUGAUAAGCCUUCUAUGUGCAACAGUGUCAAAAGCCUUACUGAAAUCUAGGUAAGCAAUGUCUACUGCACCACCCUGAUCUAUAAUUUUAGUUACCCAAUCAACAAAAUCAAUAAGAUUAGUUUGGCAUGAUCUCCCUGAAGUAAACCCAUGUUGUCUCUGAUCUUGAAAUCCAUGUGUUUUUAGAUGUUCAACAAUCCUAUCCUUUAACAUGGUUUCCAUCACUUUCCCCACUACUGAAGUAAGGCUUACUGGCUUAUAGUUGCCCGACUCCUCCCUAUUACCUUUCUUGUAAAUGGGCACAACAUUCGCUAACUUCCAAUCUUCUGGGACUACUCCUGUUAACAAUGAUUGGUUAAAUAAAUUUGUUAAUGGUUUUGCUAGUACACCACUAAGCUCUUUUAAUAGCUUUGGGUGUAUUCCAUCAGGUCCCAUUGACUUAUGUGUCUUUACUUUUGACAGUUGAAAUAGAACCUCUUCCUCUGUAAACUCACGUGUAAAAAAUGACUCAUUUAUCCUUUUUCUCAACUGAAGUCCUUUUCCUUCAUUUUCAUCUGUAAAUACAGAACAAAAAUAUUAAUUGAGGCAGUCAGCUAGACCUUUAUCCUCUUCUACAUACCUUCCUUCUUUUGUUUUUAAUCUAACUAAUCCUUGUUUUACUUUUCUAUUCUCAUUUAUGUAUCUAAAAAUGUUUUGUCCCCCUUUUUUAAUGACUGUGCCAUUUUCUCUUCUGUGUGUGAUUUGGAAGCUCUUAUAACUUGCUUAUUUUAAUAUAAGAACAGUGACUGAGUCACACCACACAAAAAACAAAAGUUUUAGACUUUAAAAAAACAAACACUUUUCUAAAAUUAGAAUAUGUGUUAAGGAGUCAUUAUCAGACUGGAGCAAUGUAAAUGGAGUCCAAGAGAAAUGGGAUUAUUUAAAAGUUGCACUGCUGAAGGCAACAGAAAAUUGCAUUAGGCUUGUCAGUAAAAGCAAAAAAUUCAAGAGACCACUGUGGUACUCUGCAGAUGUGGCCAAAAUAGUGAAAAACAAAAAGUUAGCAUUUAGUAAUUAUAAAAAAAAACAAAGUGAGGAAGACAGAAUGAUCUAUAAGAUUAGGCAGAAAGAGGCUAAGCAAGUUAUAAGAGCUUCCAAAUCACACAUAGAAGAGAAAAUAGCACAGUCAGUAAAACAAAGGGGACAAAACAUUUUUUAGAUACAUAAAUGAGAAAAGGAAAGUAAAACAAGGAUUAGUAAGAUUAAAAACAAAAGCAGGAAGGUACGUAGAAGAGGAUAAAGGUCUAGCUGACUGCCUCAAUAAAUAUUUUUGUUCAGUUUUUACAGAUGAAAAUGAAGGAAAGGGACCUCAGUUAGGAAAAUGGACAAAUUUGUCAUUUAUUACACGUGAGUUUACAGAGGAAGAGGUUCUAUUUCAACUGUCAAAAGUAAAGACAAAUGGGACCUGAUGGAAUACACCCAAAGUUAUUAAAAGAGCUUAGUGGUGUACUAGCAAAACCAGUAACAGAUUUGUUUAACCAAUCAUUGUUAACAGGAGUAGUACCAGAAGAUUGGAGGUUAGCGAAUGUUGUGCCCAUUCACAAGAAAGGCAGUAGGGAGGAGUCGGGCAACUAUAGGCCAGUAAGCCUUACUUCAGUAGUGGGGAAAGUAAUGGAAACCAUGUUAAAGGAUAGGAUUGUUGAACAUCUAAAAACACAUGGAUUUCAAGAUCAGAGACAACAUGGGUUUACUUCAGGGAGAUCAUGCCAAACUAAUCUUAUUGAUUUUUUUGAUUGGGUAACUAAAAUUAUAGAUCAGGGUGGUGCAGUAGACAUUGCUUAUCUAGAUUUCAGUAAGGCUUUUGACACUGUUGCACAUAGAAGGCUUAUCAAUAAAUUGCAAUCUUUAAGUUUGGAUUCCAAUAUUGUUGAAUGGGUAAGGCAGUGGCUGAGUGACAAGCAACAGAGGGUUGUGGUCAAUGGAGUAUAUUCAAAGCUUGGGCUUGUCACCAGUGGGGUACCUCAGGGAUCUGUACUUGGACCCAUUCUCUUUAAUAUUUUUAUUAGUGAUAUUGCAGAAGGUCUUGAUGGUAAGGUAUGUCUUUUUGCUGAUGGUACUAAGAUAUGUAACAGGGUUGAUGUUCCAGGAGGGAUAAGCCAAAUGGCAAAUGAUUUAGGUAAACUAGAAAAAUGGUCAGAGUUGUGGCAACUGACAUUUAAUGUGGAUAAGUACAAGAUAAUGCAUCUUGGACGUAAAAACCCAAGGGCAGAGUACAGAAUAUUUAAAAGAGUCCUAACCUCAACAUCUGAGGAAAGGGAUUUAGGGGUGUUUAUUUCUGAUGACUUAAAGGUAGGCAGACAAUGUAAUAGAGCAGCAGGAAAUGCUAGCAGAAUUCUUGGUUGUAUAGGGAGAGGUAUUAGCAGUAGAAAGAGGGAAGUGCUCAUGCCACUGGUAAGAUCUCACUUGGAGUAUUUUACGCAGUACUGGAGACCGUAUUUUCAGAAGGAUAUUGAUACUUUAGAGAGAGUUCAGAGAAGGGUUACUAAACAGGUUCAUGGAUUGCAGGAUAAAACUUACCAGGAAAGGUUAAAGGAUCUUAACAUGUAUAGCUUGGAGGAAAGAAGAGACAGGGGGGAUAUGAUAUAAACAUUUAAAUACAUAAAGGGAAUCAACACAGUAAAGGAGGAAACCAUAUUUAAAAGAAGGAAAACUACCACAACAAGAGGACAGUCUUAAAUUAGAGGGGCAAAGGUUUAAAAAUAAUAUCCGGAAGUAUUACUUUACUGAGAGGGUAGUGGAUGCAUUGAAUAGCCUUCCAGCUAAAGUGGUAGAGGUUAACACAGUAAAGGAGUUUAAGCAUGCGUGGGAUAGGCAUAAGGAUAUCCUAACUAUAAGAUAGGUCUAGGGACUAAUGAAAGUAUUUAGAAAAUUGGGCAGACUAAAUGGGCCGAAUGGUUCUUAUCUGCCAUCACAUUCUAUGUUUCUAUUUCUUCUUUUCUUUUUCUCUUUUUUUUAGAUACCCCAUCUCUUGGGAUUGUUCCUGAAAAGACUAAAAUCCUCAGAAACUGGGACAGAUUUUUGCUUCUUGUUAAUACUGAGCCUGGCUCUCUACAUAAAACAUUUUUCUUUCAAUGCUGAAAGAUGUGACCAUUACUGAUAUUGUUAACUUCUUAAAUAUUCAGGUAACCAUUCUGCCAUGAACAACCAGAAUUGUUUCUAAUUACCGAAACUCUAACCUCAUCUACCAUAUAUGUAAAAUCCUCUCUCAUGUAUGAUAUUUUUAGACUGAUUUAUGCAAUUCUCUGCUGAUUGAUGUACUUGCCAUGUUGUUUACAUUACCGUAUGUCUCCUGCUUUCUGAGACAAAAUAAAGAAUGUAAUUAAAAGUUGUUUUAAGUACCAAUGGCAGUAGCUAGACUUGACAAUUUAAAGUCCAUCAUUCUACAAUGAAAAAGAUUAUUCAAAAAUAGAAAACAUUCAAGAUGGUUUCCAAUCUUCCCAAGAGUGGAUGUUCCAGCAAGUUCACCUGAAGGUCAGACUGCGCAAUGCUCAGAGAAAUUGCAAAAAAAACAAGAGUUACAUUGCAGACUCUACAGGCCUCAGCUAGCAUGUUAAAUGAUUAAGAUUGUUACAGUAUAAUUAGAAAAAGACUGACAAGUAUGGUUUGUUUGAAAGGGUUGCCAGAAGAAAGCCUAUUCACUCCACCAUUCUACAAUGAAAAAGAUUAUUAAAAAAUGGAAAACAUUGAAGAUGAUUUCCAAUCUUCACAGGAGUGGAUGUUACAGCAAGUUCACCUGAAGGCCAGACUGUGCAAUGCUCAGAGAAAUUGCUAAAAAAAACAAGUUACAUUGCAGACUCUACAGGACUCAGCUAGCAUGUUAAAUGUUUAAGAUUAUUACAGUAUAAUUAGUCUGUUUCUAAUUAUACUGUAAUAAUCUUAAACAUUUAACAUGCUAGCUGAGGCCUGUAGAGUCUGCAGUGUAAAAGAAACAGACUAACAAUUAUUGUUUGUUUGAAAGGGUUACCAGAAGAAGCCUAUUCACUCUAAAAAGAACAUGGUUUAGGUUUGCAAAGUUGCAUCUGAACAAACCACAAGACAUCUGGAGCAAUGGCCUUUGGACAGACGAGACCAAAGGGGAGAUGUUUGGCCAUAAUGCACAAUGCCACAUUUGAUGAAAACCAAACACAGAAUAUCAGUACAAACACAUCAUACUAAUUGUUAAGCAUGGUGGCGGAAGGGUGAUGAUUUGGGCUUUUUUUUGCAGCCACAUGACCUGGGAACCUAGGUCGACCACAAACUCCUCUGUCUACCAGUAUUCUAGAGUAAAAUUUGAGGCUAUCUGUAAGACAGCUAAAGCUUGACUGGAACUGGCUCAUGCAACAGGACAAUGAUCCCAAGCACAGCAGCAAAACUACUGUGAAUGGAUUAAAAAGAAAAUAAUCAAGGUGUUGCAAUGGCAAAUUGCAAUGGCCACAGACCUUAACUAUAUAUUAAUUCUACGUGUAAGCAAAGAGUUCAAAGAGUGUGAUGGGAUUCCAGCAUGGUCAAAAUUUAGUAGGCCAAAAUCUCCACAUGGCAUAUGCUAAUUAGUAUCUGAUUACAAACAGUUGGAUGAGUCAUCAGUAUACUGAGCAUGUGUGGAAGUGGAUAGUAAAAUCCUUUGUCUUCAACAAGCCAUGUGGUAUGCCAUAUAAGGUGAUCCUGAAUAUCCUGUGUGCUGAUUGGUCUGAGGAAUAUAGGAGGGGUUAUACUGUAUGGGAGGAGAUAUGCAGUUAACAAAAGUCCCAAGCCCCAUGUGUUGCUCUCUCAGAAUUUUGGAACAGGAGUUCAUCUGAGACCCGAUCGGUAAUGUGAAUAAAGGCCUCUUACUUCCUGAAGACUUGUGUCCAUAUCUCUGUGUUUGGCUUCUGCAUGCUUACACGGUAACAUUUCUGGUGCAAUUGGUCAGGGAACCUCAUCGCAGGGAAGCUGGCGAAGAGAUUUGAGAUGGUAAACUUUUACGAAAUUCUCUACGCUGCAAUCCUGGACUUCUACUGCGUGGACCUACUUUCGUCUCGGCGCCACUGGCCUUUUGUCCAGGAGAUCAUCGGCUUCUGCGCAGUGAGUCCCGGGUUGUUCCGUCGAUGAAUGUGAAUCCAGGUCCAGGAACUAACAGGUAAGACUGAUACCGUUAGAGCGGUAGACCCACAAGGGGUUUUAUAUUUGGAACCGGUUAUUGGAAUAAUCCCCUUCAAUUUGGAAAGAAAUUAGACGCUCUGUAGUCAGCCCGUCUAAUAUAGGUGGUUUGUCAGACUGAGUUCUGGUGUAAAUAGCUCAUGUCGGACACCGAUGUCCUGCCUUGACUAGCAUGCUAGGUGUAAAUUUUGGUUGCUAGGUCGGGGAGACCGGCGAAAUUUAAGCAGGCUCUGUUGUAUAUUAUAGCUUGCUAGAUUUCACCCUAUCUUAACAAAGUGUGCUCUGUUGUAAAUCCAGCCACUAGAUUAUUGAUAGUGUAAUAGACUAGCUGGGUACUGUGUAAAUUCUGCCCUCUAGUUCGCUAUACGUGGUGUCUGGGCAGCGAAGAACUUAUGGAAUCUCUGGUGUACAAAUAGAUCGAAAGCUCUCGAGGUGCUGGCCAGUUAAAAUAGUUGUGAUUAUUGUAAAUGUUGUUAAAUAUAUUGUAGUUGGUGAAUUGGUUAAUUUGUAUGUCCUACUAGAAAGUUAGAGCUCUGCUGUCUAGUGGGAGUGUAAAUUGUGUGUAUAACUGUAAAAUAGUGCACGGUACCAUAACUACUGACAUGUACCAUAACCACUGACAUUGUGUAAAAAUUACUAACAAUUGCUGUUUUAUGUUAUAUGUAUAAUACCAUAACUGUUACUAACUGAUGUGUGCGUGCAUGUGUGUGUUUGGGCCUAGUGACUGUGCGAUGUGGUGCUGGUGAUAAGGAGAUUGGUGUGACUGUUGAAACUGUGUGUAUAUUUGUACAGCUUUUUGAAUCAGACGUUUUGUUGAAAUCAUCUUCUGAUUCACAAGGCUGUUGGUCCUUUGUCUUGUAUAGUGUAGUAGGAAGUAGCUUGUCCUGGUGGCCGCAUGGCCUCCAUGUAGCAGUCUUCACUUACAUUUAGUGCAGGGUGUACAUGUGGCUGUAACUAGUAGGCCGGAAUUCUAUGAUCAGUUUCUAUAUAUUGACUGUUGGAAACUGAUUGUUGAAAAACUGCCUUGGUGAAUUAAACUGUGUCAUAUGAGAAACAAUGGAGCCAUAUGGUGGUCAGAACUUAAUUGCAACUGCUUUGGACAUCCCCUCACCCUUGCAUCUGAUUACCUAUUCAUCCUCCAGAGCCAGAGUAGCCACGCCCCCAUUCUUCCUCCCAAGCUUAAAACUGGUAUAGGUGGUAUUUGCACUCCCCCUGCUCUACUGUCCCCGCCUACCCACAUACCUAUCUGUUCCUGUGUUUCAAACUCUUGUAUUUCUGUACUACCCCUCCUCCCCCUAAUCAAGAUGGUAUAUUGUCUUUUUUUAGUUACUGGAUGGGCCCCUCCCAGCUUUGUCCAAAAUGUCCCCUUUUACUAAAAUACAAACUGAGAUGUUUAAUUUACCUAAGAACUAAAGAUUUAAUUAAGCCUAGAUAUCAGGGUGGACAGUGAUUAAAAUAAGUAAUAAUAAAAUAGGGACAUAAUUAAUUAAAGUCUAUCUGCUUCAUUAGACUUUAGAGAGGCACUCUACGGCCACCUACUGGCUAUCUUCGGGAGUUACAUUGAUAAUACAUUGUUUAUAACAGAUAGAAGUAGGAUUGCUUACCCUAUUUUAAUAUAUUUAUUGCUAUAAGGUUUUAUUUUAUGUAUAAAUAUAUUAAAAGUUAAGUUUUAUUAUUAGACCCAUAAAGAUUAUUUUGAUACAAUUACCCUCUGGUGACAACUACUGGUAGGUUUUUGGUUUAACACUUAAAAAAAAAAUUUCAUCCACCAAAUGCUGAUUAGUAAAAUUAGCUCACCCCCUUACACCUAUUAGCUCACCCCCUGGAACCUAUUAUUGAGCAGCCUUGCCGAAGUCCCAUACUAACCCGACAACUGACUGGCACCCUUCCAUCCCGACAUUGUCAUAUGCCCCUCUGACUUACACCAGGCCCAACACACGUGGAUGAGAAUGGCCAAAUACAACGGGCAGAUCCAGUGUUUGUAUAUGUCCCCUUCACUACGACUGAUUUAUUUAACUGGAAGAUUCAUAACUCUUCAUAUACUGACAAACCUCAAGUUAUGUCAGAUUUGGUUACUUCUAUUAUCCAAACACAUAAUCCCACCUGGGCCAAUUGCCAGCAAUUAUUAUUAACUUUAUUUAAUUGUGAGGAAAGGACCCGGAUUAAUCAAGCGGCUAUUAAAGCGCUUGAGGAAACGGCCCGUACUCAAAAUCAGGCCAAUCCAGUUGUGUGGGCUGCAGCACAUUAUCCAAAUGCCGAUCCAAAUUGGAACGUGAAUGGUGCUGACAUGCCCCAACUAAGAGCUUAUCGGGAAGCCAUAAUUGCUGGCAUGAAGGCAGGAGGGAAGAAGGCAAUUAAUAUGUCAAAGACGGCUGAGGUGUUGCAAAAGGUUGAUGAGUCACCUAGUACCUUGUAUGAGAGAUUAUUGGAGUCAUAUAGGUUGUAUACUCCUUUUAAUCCAGAGGCUCCUGAGAAUUUUAGGAUGAAUAAUUCAGCAUUUGUCAGCCAGGCCCAAGGUGAUAUUAAAAGGAAAUUACAGAAAUUAGAGGGAUUUGUAGGGAUGUCCAUAUUACAGCUAAUGUAGAUUGCAAAUAAAGUAUAUAUGAAUAGGGAGACGGAGGUAAAGCGGGAGGAAGAAUGUAAGAUGAGGAAAAAGGCAGAUAUGCUAGCGGUAGCUAUCUCAAAUGUAGAAAGACAGGGAGGGGAAGUGCAUAGAGGAGACGAGAAUAGGCUGAGCAGGGUACCACUAGGUAGAGAUCAAUGUGCAUAUUGUAGAGAGGAAGGGCAUUGGAAGACUGACUGCCCACAGAGGGGAUAUAUUGCAGGUGGUAUACGAGAAGAGGACGAGGUGGUUAUGGAAGCAGCUAUAAAGGGUGAGGUAAAGGAAGUUUUGGAGGAAAUAGUGCGAAUAGUAGAGGAAGUGUUCAAGGGGACAGAUAUUAUCCACCUACCCAGAAAUUAAGGGAUAGGGAAGAUAGACAUUUUGUAGGUCUGGCUGACACUGUCAUGGAAAACUAUUGAUACCGACCGGGCUCCAUUCCCCUUGGUCAAGCAGAGCCUAUGGUCGAUGUAGUAAUAGGGGGAAAGAGAAGUUCUUUCAUGAUCGACACAGGUGCUGACCAUUCUGUGGUGACUAAGAUGGUGGCUCCGCCUUCGGGGAAGACUAUAACUGUGAUAGGAGCUACUGGAAGAAAGCGCAGCUAGACUGGUUCUUAAGAGUCGCACUUGUAUUCUGGGAGGCCAUGUGGUGAAGCAUUAGUUCCUACAUAUGCCAGAGUGUCCGAUUCAACUUUUAGGACGAGAUCUAUUAUCGAAGCUUUAAGCUCAGAUAACCUUUUACCUAAUGGAUCAACAUCUCUGAAGUUUAAGGGAUUACCAGGAAUAAUGGCGAUAUCGGUGCCAAGGGAAGAAGAAUGACGCUUCUAUUCCAUAGUGACAAGUGUUAACCCUAAGAGUGAUGAAUCCUUAUUUGACAUCCAGGAGUAUGGACAGAAAAUAAUCCUCCAGGACUUGCUCAUAAUAUCCCACCAAUACAUAUUGAGUUAAAGCUCGGGGUGUAUCCUGUUAGCCUUUGUAUGUUGUUCUUUUAUCUACCCCAACAGCUAUAAAGGUGGCGGAAGUGACUCCUUGGAUUCAUCAUUCUAAGGUUAAACCAGCGGCAGACUCUUGGCAAGCUACUCCAGAUCCUGAGAAUCCUUCCAGGAUCCGGUUGAAGCGCAUAACCCAGUUGGAUUGAACAUGUCGUGAGAAAAAGUACGAGGGGAUAUCGAGACAUUCUAGUUAAAAGUCUACAGAGAUCAUCAAGUAGGUGUUUUGACGGCCAUAAUAAAGCCUGACCACCUGCCUACGUGUCAUAAGCCAGAGUGUCUCGAAGGGAUCUCUGUGAAGGAAAGUGAGGAUCAGAAGAACAACAUCCUUGCAGCCCUCACAAUCGGGAAGCUGAGGGGCCAUCGCACGGUCAAAGAAAAAAUAGGAUUUCAGGAAUAAUGUGUUGUAUUAUGUGUCUUAGUAUUUUUAUGAUUUUUCAGGAAGGUAGGAGUACAGACAUACCGAAUUGCGAUAGUUGCAUUAAGACUACUAAAACAGGUAACCAAAUAUCCCAAACUCUCAUCUGGCACUCACAGUAUGAAUGUAAGGGAUCUGUAUCUAAAUGUAGAUAUUUGGAUAUUGAUUAUAGUGUGUGCAAGCCUAUAUCAGGAGAGUCUAAAUGUUUCGAUCCCCAAUUCCAACCCCAUACAAUUUGGUUGGUAAUUAGGAAUAGUAACUCCCAGGGAACUUUGAUAAAUAGGACUGUGAUAAAUACCAUACAUUGUAUGGGUAUUCUACUAUUUGAUGCAUGUAAGGCGAUCUCGGGUAGUGGAAAACCUUGGAAUGUAUGUGGUAAUCUUAAAUGGGAACGAACUUAUGGGUUUAAUGAUAAAUACUUAUGUCCCAGUAAAAGAUCUACUGAUCCUGAUUGCCCAAAUAGAGAUGACAACUUCUGCCCCUAUUGGUCAUGUGUAGGUUGGGCUACCUGGGGAAAGACAGUAGAUCAAGAUAUGAUUAUCCAAAGGUUGCCUACCACACCAUACUGUAAAACUAUGUGUGUAACCCCGUUCACAUGACCAUUUCCAAUCUGCAGCACUUUAUUGACAGGUUCGGAGGUCUGUUUGGGUUCCAAAUAUAUGGCACAGGAGUAGAUCCAGGAACAAUAAUAUAUGUAGGUCUUGAAACUGAGACAGUAGCAACCCAAACUCAUCAGGUUUCUCAUUCCUUCUAUGAGGAGAUGAGUAUUGAGGAUAAAAUUCCCCAUAAUGUUAAGAACCUAUUUAUUGAUUUGGCUGAGAGUAUUGCAGGUAGUCUUAAUAUAACUAACUGCUUUGUAUGUGGAGGUACUAAUAUGGGAGACCAGUGGCCAUGGGAGGCAAAGGAAAUAUGGUACUCUGGCUCUGAGACAUAUGAACAACAGAUACCUUUCCAGUCUGAUCAUCAAGUAAGUACUAGAAGUAAAUCGGAAUGGCGGUUAAAAACCUACAUUAUAGGUCAUGUUUGUAUAGCCAGGAAAGGAACAAUGUAUAACACGUCUGUAGGUGAGCUAACUUGCUUGGGACAAAAAGCCUAUAAUGUUAAUACUAAAAAUACUACUUGGUGGUCAGCUUCAAAUGUCUCGGAGCCUACUAAUCCGUUUGCCAAUUACACUCAUUUAAAGGAGGUAUGGUUUGACUUAUCUGCUACAUCUAGUGGGAAAGCCCCAGCAAAUUUACACUGGAUUUGUGGUAAGAAAACUUAUUCAGAGUUACCACAAGAUUGGGAAGGGGCAUGUGUAUUAGGUAUGCCAAAGCCAUCCUUCUUCUUGUUGCCAAUUGAGACAGGAGAGACCUUGGGAGUUAAGGUUUACGAUGUAAAUAAUAAAAAGAAGCGAGCAUCCCUGAAUAUAGGUAGUUGGGAAGAUGAUGAGUGGCCCCCUCAACAUAUUAUUAAUUAUUAUGGACUUGCUACUAGGGCAGAAGAUGGCACUUAUGGAUAUAGAACUCCGAUAUAUAUAUGCUCAACCGCAUUAUUAGACUACAGGCGGUAGUUGAGAUUAUCACUAAUGAGACAGCACAAUCGCUUAAUCUUCUAGUUAAGCAAAAUACCAGGAUGCGAUCAGCCAUAUACCAGAAUAGGCUAGCCCUUGAUUACUUACUAGCAGUGGAAGGAGGUGUAUGCGGAAAGUUUAAUCUAAGUAACUGUUGUCUGCACAUAGAUGAUGAAGGGCAGGCAGUGGCUGAACUUACAAGUCACAUGGUUAAAUUUGUGCAUGUACCUACUCAGGUCUGGAAUGGGUAUAACCCAAGUAGUUGGUUUGGAAGUUGGUAUGAGCAGCUUGGAGGAAUUAAGACAUUAGUAGGAGGAGUAGAAUUUAUUAUAUUUCUUGUGCCUCCUCCUGCCAUGUCUAAUUCCACUAGUGGUCAGGUCCCUACGUAGUAUUCUAGAGAGUACUAUAGAGAGAAAGACAGCUGCCCAUGUAAUGGCUGUCUAGAAGUAUGAACCCCUAGCCCACAGAGAGAAUAAUCGGGAUGAGGAAUGUUGAAGGAGUUUUUAAGAUGAUACAAGGUCUGUACUGGUUCAUGGUUACUUGAGUGGUGUUGGCAGAUUAUGAUUAGUGAUGCAUCUGGAAUAAUGUUAUAUCAGAGGCAUCAAAGGGGGGAAUGUGAUGCGAUUCCAGAAUGGUCAAAAUUUAGUAGGCCAAAAUCUCCACAUGGCAUAUGCUAAUUAGUAUCUGAUUACAAACAGUUGGAUGAGUCAUCAGUAUACUGAGCAUGUGUGGAAGUGGAUAGUAAAAUCCUUUGUCUUAAACAAGCCAUGUGGUCUGCCAUAUAAGGUGAUCCUGAAUAUCCUGUGUGCUGAUUGGUCUGAGGAAUAUAGGAGGGGUUAUACUGUAUGGGAGGAGAUAUGCAGUUAAAAAAAGUCCCAAGCCCCAUGUGUUGCUCUCUCAGAAUUUUGGAACAGGAGUUCAUCUGAGACCCGAUCGGUAAUGUGAAUAAAGGCCUCUUACUUCCUGAAGACUUGUGUCCAUAUCUCUGUGUUUGGCUUCUGCAUGCUUACACGGUAACAAGAGGGUGUACUUUAUUUUCCCAUGACUGCAUAUAUAUGUAUGUAUUUAUAUAUAUUAGUAGAUAAAUCUAAAAAAACAAAAUAAUGUGUAUUGACACACACACACACGUGUAUUCCAAUUGGCCACUCACACUUACUUGUAAAUCACUUGUAAAGUGUUUAAAUAGCCGAAUUAGAUGAGAAUAUCUGGAGCAAGUUAAAACUACUAAAGGACUGGAUGAAUAUUAUAGACAAUCUCCCAAAAUAUUGAUAAGCCUGAAGCUAGAGUAGAUGGAAAAAGACAAAUGCAGCUCAGAGUAUUAGAACGUAAAUGUAUUCACUUACAUAUAAAAAGAUAAAACCACACAUCCAGAUUAAAAGCAAAAUAGUCAAAUGUGUCUUGUCUGGUAAGAUUUCCCAGGGACAUUGAGCAUCACAAAAACAAAUGAUCAAAUACUCUCCUGCCUACCAACAAUUUAAAUUCCUCUAAUGAGGUCUCUUCGGUUUCCAUUGGCUUCCUCUAUCUCCAACGGUCUUCAAUCUCUUUGUCUUCCAUGUUGUGCCUGCAAUUUAAGCUCCUCACAUGUCAUGUGACCUGCAUGAUAACAUGGUAUAUUUGUGAAAAAGGAAAGAGCAUGUCGGGACUUAUUCUUUCCUUAAGGAAAGUAUCUAUUUGCAUGAUUAAAAUUUACUAAUUCUCACAAAUUGUUACUUUUGCUUACAUAUUUUAAAAGUUAAGUACAUACCUUUGUAAAGAGUGAACUGAUUCUUGCAUUUUUAGUAAGUUGAUGAUUCUAUGUUUACCCUUGCUGUACCUGUGUUGGAGUGUAGAUAGUAGAUAGCCUGAAUCAUUGACUCUAUUGUGUAACUAAGUUUAGCUUUCUGAUGUAUCUAGUUAAUAGCUACUGCCAGGAGCACUUGAAACAACUUUGAGUGUGAGAUAUGAGAUUGGCAGGCUAUUUGUCAUUAAUUCCAACAUGGGACUAGGCAUCAAUAUACAAUUAUUAUUAAGUUUUUGUUUGUUUGUCUAAUGUUUAGAGGAAAGAAAAUCCUUCUUUUGUGAAGUGUGGUGUUUAGUAACAUCUAAAAAUAAUUUUGCCUAGCCUGGGUCAUUGAUUCUAGUCUGAGACUAGGUUUAGCUUUCUGUUGUAUCUUGCUGGCAGCUACUGACAAAGAUAUUAUAAACAACUUUGAGUGGGAGAUAGGAGAUUGGCAGGCAUUUUGUUAUUGAACCUACUGCAAGACUAGCUUACCAAUGUAAGAAAGAGAGAGAGCACCACUAGUACCAAAACUACCACUAAAAACUACCACUAAUACCACCUUCACCACCAUCAACAUUUCCAUUAGUAUGAUUCAGUCAAGUGCUAGUGCAGGGAUAGGCAACUUUCGGCACUCCAGAUGUUGUGGACUACAUCCCCCGUAAUGCUCUUACACCCAUAAUGCUUGUAAAGUAUCAUUGGGGGUGUAGUCCAAAACAUAUGGAGUGCUGAAGGUUGCCUAUGCCUGUGCUAGUGUGCAGGCUAGAGUUGCAACAGCUUCCACUGCCACCAAUGCAAAUUUUAGGAUUUAUCUGAGUGCAUCCAAGAAGACUGACUUGCAAAGUGCAAAAUGUGCAGAAAUGAAGUGAGUUGGGGAUACCACAAAUCUGCAUUAGUGAGGGAAGAAGAAGGAUAAGAAAGUUGACUGGUGCUGUGUUUGAGUCUGCACAGUUGUCACAACUAGUGAUGUCCCGAAUGGUUCGCCGAACGGUUCGCCACGGACUCAUCAUUGAGUAAACUUUGACCCUGUACCUCACAGUCAGCAGACACAUUCCAGCCAAUCAGCAGCAGACCCUCCCAGACCCUCUCGCCUCCUGGACAGCUCACUAAGAAUGCAGCUUCACAAUGAAUGUAAAAUGGAUGCUGUCCAGGAGGUGGGAGGGUCUGGGAGGGAGGGUCUGCUGCUGAUUGGCUGGAAUGUGUCUGCUGACUGUGAGGUACAGGGUCAAAGUUUACUCAAUGAUGAGUCCGCAGUGAACCGUUCGGCGAACCGUUCGGGACAUCACUAGUCACAACCUACCAUUAUUACCUCCUUUCCCACUACUAGUACCAGCACCCUAGGACAGAGCAGUAGGAUGGUGAGGAUAGUGCCAGUAGUCAACACUGGAAUACUUGACAGGAACAUUCAGACCACUCUUUAUCUAUUGAAUAAAACAAAAAAAUAUCACUGAUUUAGAAUGUUUUUGAAUGGUGUUAUUAAUUUGUCAUUUAUUUUUUAUUUUAUUUAAUAAGAAAUGGAUUUGAUUUUUGGUGUGCAUCUGAGCCAAUUCUUGUGCCUUGGAAAUAGCAAGAUUUUUCCCUCAGUAAUAUACACCAUUUGUGGCUGCAGUUUACAGUACUAGUGAACACACUGAGUGUGACAGAUCCUUUCUUUAACUCUUUGUAUUCUAAAACGUGGUAGUAAUGUUGGUCAUCUACUUGUUCACCCACCUUGGUAAAUAAAAUUAAUAAAAAGAAAAAAAGAAAAAUUAUCCCUGCUGCUGCUUUCCCCCUUUUUUUCAAGUGCCUUUCCUUGUGGUUUUGUGCAGGCUGAGUGAGCCUUAUCUUUGUAAACACAAUUGGCAUAGGUUGAUAGGGCAAAUGUUUUUUUUUCCAUUAUAAAGAACAGUCACUUCUCUUUCUAAGGCAAAAGUGAGUGAAAAUGGGCACUUUGUGGCCCACUCACCCUGAGAAGAACAAAGCUGCCUCAUACAUCCAUUUUGUAUAAUGACUUGUGGAAUGAUCUUUCAGUGCCCUACUAUCUUAACUGCAUCUGUGUGGGUAGCAGGAACUGCAUAGCUCAGCCAGUGAAGGCAAAACCACAAUAAAAGGCACUUGGAAAAAAAGGGGGAACUGAAUUUGAAAGGGAAUUAAAAAACAAAGGCCUUCAUCUUUUGAAAAACCUAAUUUUUAAAAGACUCCUGCUGAAACUAGUACAUAGUUGUUGUUUUUUGUUGUUAUUUUUUUAAACUAAAGGAUAAAUCACAAGAUGACUGUGACAGAGCUCCCGUACUUUGACCAAGUACCUCGGCCAAAUCUGCUUCCUCACCGCUAUCAGUAACCCUGGAGCGCUUCAGACCCGAAGCUUGACUGGGCUCGACGAGCAUCUUUUCUACCCUGGACCAGGCUACUGUGAUUAUAGGUUUGGAAACCCAUUUCUCUAAACAACAGACAACACUUGGUAACAUUUAAAAACAACAACCUUUAUUGAAAACAAUCCAUUUACUUAUACCCCCAAACAUCAUUUACAAACAAUAGGUAGGUGGUACCCAAUAGCAUUAUAGACUUGGGAUAGUAACCAAUUACACUAAAUCUGAAGUUAACCUUUUGCAAUAUGGACUUAAGAUAGCAGCCAAUCACACUAAAAAGCUUACAACAAGUGUGAAUUGAGCACUGUAAUUACCAGAAAGGGUGGGGACAGAUAACAGCAAGUGCUUAGAAUCACUUGAGGGAUUUAAAGGAGUGGCAGGUCUGCCUCUUGGAACUAAUCUGGAAGUGCCCCUAAAACAAUGGGAAAACGGAAGAAUAAAAAGACAGGAAAAGGGGGGAAGGGGAAAAGCACAUUCAACCUGGACAAGCAAUACAUUUAAUUUAAUACAUAUGAGAAAAUCAUAUGGGGAAACGUACAGGCACUCAUAAUAACACAAUAAAACAAUAGACCAUUCAUAUACUGUAUAUAUUUUUAUCAAACAGAGAAUAUAUAAUCUAAUCUAAUUUUGUUAACUCAGAAUUGGCAUAGAAAAAGGUCUGCUGUUGUGUAGUCAUUAGGACAGGCAAUAUUGAAGCCUCUUUGAAUGUCAGCACAGACAUAGACAUAGUCCCAAACUGUACUAAAUUGUGCUGAAUUAUGGCAAAUAAAGCUGCUUAUAUUUACCCACAAAAAAAGAAAAACUUACAGAUUUUUCUCCAUUCUAUCCUCAUUUUGUCUGGUGCUAGAAACAGAACUCUAAAUCAUGAAUAAAAAUUAACUGGCUUGUGUUUUACGUGAGUUGUUUGGUCAUUAGUCAAUAUGGCAGUUCAGAAAUCAGGAAUUUGGUUUGGUCACCUGAAUGGACCAAAUUCAAAUGAUUUGCAAUUCAUAGCAAAAUAAAUAUCCAUGUCUAACAUGUACAUUAUUAAAUUUUUUUGCUGAUAAGUGUCAUUGGUAUGAGUGGGCAUUAAGGGUCUAAUUCCAUGGAAGUGGGACUAUUAAACUACUACUAGGAUAUAAUUAGUAGCUGCCCCCAUGAUAUUUCCAACUGCCUGGAAAAAUCCUUGUGUAGUUUACUAAAAGUUAUUUUUAAACUUAAAUUUUGCUGGGCGUACAUGACCACCUCUGAGGAACAUGUAGUCUGGAAAUAACAACUCAUUCUUCCUCUCAUCCUUUCUUUGUCCCAUCUCCUACCUUUUAGAUACGUAUGACAAUUGUAAAAACUCCAUGACUCACCAGUAAUGUUUGUUAAUGGGACACACUACUGUCCAAAUACAAAAAUAAAUAAAACAAUGUAGUAGAUAUAUCCCCAGUGAAAGCAUGCAUGCAUAUAAUUAUGCACUCUUUCAUUGGGGUUAUAUCUAAAAACAGCAUGCAAAAAAGUGUUCAUCUCAUGUCUACCCUGCAGUUGCAUAUAAUUGUAAAUUAUUGGCUCUCUGAGUAGCAUGGGAAAUGUAUUUUACUGCCAUCUGUAAACUAGGUUUACCAGAAAAUGUAUAUUCAGUAAGUAAAGUAAACCUGCUAAAAUAAUUCAACCCAUUAUGUACCGGCAAGUAAAAUGUAUAUUUUACAUUAAACUUUGGUAUUAAUUUUCUGAAGAAUUACAAUUCAGAUUAAACUUGGCUCUUUUGUCCAAAUUCCAAAUUUCUGGAUGGCACAGUGGAAAAAUAUACUCAUACACAAACUUCUUCCAUGUGCAAUUCAUUCAUUAGUUAACUCUUCUAAAGUCAUGUGUGAUUUUUAUAUUUAAGGGUACCAAAUUAUGGAGCUCUUGUGUUAAGUAGAUAGUUCUCGUAUUUGGUAUCCUUAAAUAUUGAUAAUUCUAUAUGUAAAGGAUGUGUACAUCCGUGCUUCAUGUUAUUAUUUUUAUAGUAUAUAUGCAUAAAACUUGAAAUUGUAAUAUUUAAUCACUUAUAAUUGUUAAUUGUAUGACAUGAACAGCUUGAGAAAAAAUGCAAGUUAGGGGGGUAGAGAAAUGGAGCUAUCACAUCAAAUCCAACUACAAAACCAGCAAUAGGAAAAUCUUUUAGAAUGAAGCAGGUAGGAGGAAUUGAGAAGGUAGGGUUAAGAUGCAGAAUGCUGCAAAACAUUUGUGUAGUGAACGCUGGUAUUUCAGAUACCCGUUAGUCAGUUUCCUCCCGAACUGCUACAGGCUAAGUGAUUAUAGCUCGCAGUUCGGGUGUUGAGUCGAACAUUCUCCAGAAUAAAUACAGCUUCCAAGUAUAUUCACCAAGCAAAUCAGAUGGUUACCCAAACAUCAGCCCAGACUACAUGAAGGGUACAACAGGAAUUCAUUUAUUCAGGCCAACUGGCCAGUUUAUAUGCAGUUACAAACGUACAGGGUUUACGGUGACAUAUUCCAGGGGCAUUCCCCACCAGACCUGAGAAGGGACAAUGACAAAAUGCAUUCUGCAGUUACAUUGGCUCUCAGGUCUCAGGUCACAUUUCCACAAAACCACAUAAGUACCCUAAACCACAUGGGAACCCCACAAAAGUCAUAUCCCGUUAUAGCCCUAAUCUGGGAGACCAACAUAUUCAAAAAUCACCCAGAUUGGUUCAUGGGUUCGGUAGUUCCAUGGAAGUCUUAAUUGGACAUACCGCACAGGAGGCUUCUGCCCCGAAAGAGUUCCAUGAAAUUAGGCAUGUGCGGUCGGUUUCUUUCGGGAAGUCUAAAAAUCAAACAAAUCCAUGAACGGUUCCCCUGGCUCAUAGGUAGCGUUUGUUCCCCUAGUUCGUGGGAACAAACCUACUGAAUACAGCUCUCCUGGCUGGUUGGUGAAAAGAAGCAGGCGUUCAUGAUAUUGACUGGCGUUUGGGAAGUCGAGUGUCUGAUUUUAGUUCCAGACACUUGACGACCAAGUCCCGCUGACUCUUUUCAUGCAACAUGAUGGCCGCCGGCUUCUCCUGCACAUAGUGUUCGGCUAUACGAGCACACACAGAGAGAGCACUUAAUUUGCGGCCAGGGGGGUGGUUGGUGUUUGGUAGUUUUAUCUACUAAACGAAGAAAAAUCUAAAUUACUUAACACAAAGGCUAGUUUCUUAACAAUUUCUUUGCAAAAACUAUUUAAAGUGAAAAGUAUACAGAUAACAAUUUGGGCUAAAAGUUAUAAAAAAUUUGGUUGUGUGUUCCGUGUCUCUUUGAGAAGUCUCACAGACUGCACUGACCAGUAAAAUAAAGCCAAUAUUUAUUUACAAUUUUUACACCAGAUUCUGAGUGAUAACCUCAGUGCCCAUAUUAUUAUCCGUACACGUAAAGCUUCUACAUUUUUGUGGCAAAAUAACAAAAAAGGAAUUUCUCAUGGAAAAGAUAAGAUCUUUAAAUUCACACUAUUCAUCUCUUAUAGUUUUUUGAGAGUAAUAUGCCAAAAAUGUGUAUUGAGAUGCAAAGCAAAGUAAUGGGCAAUUUUAUUUUUUUUCAACAUUAGGUGCCUAUCACAAAUACAAUGACUAAAUAGCAAUCUAUGUAUAGAUUGUUGUCCUUGGAUGCAUAAAAUACUAAAAUCAACUCAAUAUGUUUUAGGUGUAUUAGUAGGAGAAGUAAAAAUAGUACUAAAAGUAGUAUGUAUUAGUACAUCCAUUGCUAAAACAUUAAACAGGUAUAAAUAAUAAGGAAUAUAGAAAUAAUAAAUAAUAAGGAAUAUUUUCGCAGGAUACCACUGAGCCCCUGACGCGCACGUUUCGCCGCCAAGCUCAUCAGAGGGGAACCAGCUUUAGUAAUUAGCCGGUAUAAAUAGGAGGAAAUGACUUCUGAUAGGUCCAAUUCAAAUUUGUUUAGGAGGAGAAAUUAACCAAUCUGUCUCUAUACAUAUCACAUCAUUCUCAAUGGUUAACUUGCCGGGAAAAUUUAACAAAUUAGUGAAAACAUAUCAGAAGGUUCUUUAUUUUGAAAUCCAGUAUAUGAGACAAUUAGCCUGAAUAACUGGAAACACAAAAUGGUGUUCAUUCAAUUUUUAUUGUAAUUGCAAACUUGAUUAAUAAAGCAUGCCUUAUGAUAAGCAUUGAUAAGAGUAAUGUUUUUAUUGUGCUUGACAUUGUGGUUUGUACUUAUAAGAUGUGUUAAAAAUAAUACAAUUUAUGGUAUUGUUAUAGUAAGUUAGUUAUACUGAUUAGCACAGAUUUAUACAAUGUAAUAUAUAUACAAGGAAUAAUUCGUGAACCGUAAGACAGCAAAAAUUGUUGUUAUUAUACUUGAAAUUUACCUUGAUAGAUAGUCUACUUAGAUGUGAUAUUGCAAUCUAAUAAUAUAAAGUUGUAUUGUAAAGUAUCAUUAUAAUGGUUAACUUAGUAAGUAAAAAUCGAUUCAUGAUUUAAAGGACCACUCUAGGUACCCGGACCACUAUAGUGCCAGGAAAACAUACUCGUUAUCCUGGCACUAUAGUGCCCUGAGGGUGCCCCCACCCUCAGGGUCCCCUUCCCGCCCGGCUCUGGAAGGGGGAAAGGGGUUUAAACUUACCUUUUUCCAGUGCUGGGCGGGUAGCUCUCCUCCUCCAUUCCUCCUCCUGGGCUGAAUGCGCACGCGCGGCAAGCGCGUUUCUCUGAAACUGCUAUGUUUAUUAAAAAAUGGGUUAACACUAGAAGGACCUGGCACCCAGACCACUUCAUUAAGCUGAAGUGGUCUGGGUGCCUAGAGUGGUCCUUUAAUGAAGUGGUCUGGGUGCCAGGUCCUUCUAGGGUUAACCCAUUUUUUUUUAUAAACAUAGCAGUUUCAGAGAAACUGCUAUGUUUAUGAAUGGGUUAAGCCUUCCCCCAAAGCCUCUAGCGGCUGUCUCAUUGUAAAUGCUUUCCUAUGGGACCGGCUGAAUGCGCACGCAACUCUUGCUGCGCGUGCACAUUCAGCCGAAUGGGCGGAGAGGAGGAGGAUCGGAGGAGGAGAGCUCCCUGCCCAGCGCUGGAGAAAGGUAAGUUUUUACCCCUUUCCAGAGCCGGGCGGGAGGGGGUCCCUGAGGGUGGGGGCACUCUCAGGGCACUAUAGUGCCAUGAAAAUGAGUAUGUUUUCCUGGCACUAUAGUGGUCCUUUAAAGUAUGCCAAUGGAAUUUGAUAAAUCUUGAGAGAUGAACUAAAACAGAUUUCUCCUUGAUCGUAGCGCCAUAGUUUGUACAUUCAGUAACAUAAUGUCAUGUUUCUGAUCGGGUCACAUAAGAUACUUAUACCGGGGUAGACUAGGUUCUUUAUUUGAAAUCUUUUACAUGACUUGUCAAGAAAAACAAUACGUGUAGCAGGACUUGAAGGGAAGUGGAAAUAAUAUAGAGGAAUGAGAGUAAUAAGGAGAAUCUAAAAUAGAGGGUUAGGAAAUAAAGUCUAUAAAGGAAGAUAUAGGACAAAGGUAGAAAGCAGAGCCUAUAAGCGAGAGUAUAGGUAAGUAUUUGAGGGAUAUAAAAGAAAGAGUUUAGACAAUAAGCACCAGACAGGUAAUUAUGUAGCAGAAUAACCUAUAGGUGAGAUUAUAGGCAAUAGAUAGACGUAGAACCUAUAAGCGGGAUUAUAGGUUAUAUAGGUACAAGGUAGUAGGAGAUUCUGUAAGUGAGAUUAUAGGUAAGUAUACAGAGAGAUAACAGAAAUAAAGAGUUAGGCAAUAUGCCCUAGACAAGUUAUUAGGUAACAGGAAAACAUAUAAGUGAGAUUAUAUGUUACAUGUAAACAAAAUAUAGCUAGACAGAACUAAACAGAAUAUAAAGGUUUAAGAAGUACAGGUUAGUUAGAUAUUUAGGGGUUUCGGACUCUUUGAUUUGGAGGCAGUACUCCAGUUUUCAGAUAGUUGUAACAGGGUCAUCCACGAUAGUUGCAAAUAAUAGGGAUGUUUGUAUUAUCCAGGUUGGUUGCGUAGAUUUCAGUAGAUGUUAGGUAGAUUUGAAACAAAGUAAUAAGGUAUGGAAUUAAGCAGGUAGGUAUUGACGAUCAGGUUUGUCCCCAAGCUUGUUGGUAGUAAACGGAUUGUAAAUAAAGCAGGUUGAUCAGAUAAAUCAGAUUGGGUUCAAUGAUAUUCAGAGUAGAGCAGGUUUUCUCAGUAGGAGCCUGGAUCAGAAGUCUAGGCAGGAUCAGAACCUCAACUUCAAUCACUCAAUAUAAAAGCCCUUUGUUUAGCAGGGUGUGGCCUCUUAUAGCAGAUUCAAUAAUCAUGUUAGGCAAGUGAGCAAAACUGUGGUUAGACUAGUGGCUAGGGAGGCCACUAGUGGUAGAAAACUGGAAAUUGUAGAACUAAAACAGCAAAAAUUAAACAUAACUUUGGUGGUCAGGAUAGGAUCCUGACACAUAAUGUGUACCUGAUCUUUGGUUUCAGAUCCAUAGGGCGAUUUUGUAAUUAUAUAUAGACAGCACUGAUGCCAUUAUUAAAAGGCAAUGGGUCAACCUUGUGAUGAUAUUAUGGUUCUUUCUCUUUAGGUUGUUAGGAGUAAUAACUGAUGAUAUUGUUCCUACACUGAGUAUUUGUACAUUCAUUUUAUUACAUGACAGGAGGCUUCCUAUUUUGCCUAACUUUCUUUACUUAUGCCUCCAGCAGCACAAGUCAAUCAAUCAAAAAAAACAUUAAACCAAUCAGAGUCCAGCAUAGUAUGCAUAUAAAUCCCUGACAGGCAUCUCAUUUCCUCUUUCUUUGCUGCUCCAGCCAGGCACAGGUAAGAGUAAUUUGUUCUCUGCUCAUUCUAUUUAUUAGGAUUAUUCAUUUACACUGUUUCUUAGAUUGUCUCAUUUACAUCAUCUGAGAUAGUUAGAUUGCUUUAUUUCCCCUUCUCCCACUAUCUCUCCGAUUUUAUACUGAACCUCCUUUCUACUUGACCCCUAUUGCAGCUAACCUGCUUCUCCCUGUCGCCUUUCUCCGUGAUUGCGGCAGUUUACCGCGAUCGCGACUAUCUUGCAGGGAAGGGGGACUUUCUGGAGGGUACAGCGGGAGGUGGGAGUCUGGGACUCUGUUUGCCACCUGGCGAGCCGCUAUCGCGGUCCAUGAUCGCUAGCCGCGCCAGCAUUAUUUGCGUGCAAGCGGCGGCCAUCUUGGAUCUCGCGGAUCGUGAGAUCCAGGUCGGCCAUCUCUUCUCCUACCAGAUCGUGAUUCACACGAUCUAGUUCACCCAAUCAUACACUCACACAAUCCUUGGCAUAAAUUUGUUGCUUUACUGUAUACUGCUAAACUUUACGAGGGUUACUCCACAAACACAUACUGUUUCAAUAUUACUGUGGUCUUAUAUUUUCCUAUUGUUGAUUCACUUUGCAAUGCACUGAUUACUGAGACUUGUGGAUAUGCAUAUUACCCUCACACUCCCAUAGAGUGUUUAUGCCAGAGGUGACCCCUCAUCAUUGGGGUGACCCCCCACGCUUACUGCUAUUGUUACUAUUACAGGUGUGACCCCCCUACGCUGGGUGACCCCCAGAUGUGAAUUACACUGGAAUCAGUGUCAAACGCAUUUCAGGGGUUACCCCGUUUACUGAUGGGGUGACCCCCCACGUACCCUCGUACGUAUCAUACCUUGACUAUUGGUCACGUUUAAUAUAUACAUGAUACCGACACCUCCACACUACGACUGGGGUGAUCCGCAUGCCUCCUUAUAAACUAAGGAGAGAGAGCAUACAACGCUAAGGCUCCACUGGGCUAUACGUUAUUGGGUGACCCCCAAAUAACAAUAAGGGCUCCAUGCCCUGAACGGGCUCCGUCGUGAUUACACAACCACUCAUCCCAGUCUCAUAGAGGGUGACCCCCUCCCCAGCCCAUAUAUAUAUAUAGAAGAGAAGAGAAAAAUCAGCGCUCAACUGCCACACAAAUGGAUAAAAAGGCAGCACUACAAAAAGAGGAAUCCCCUAUAAUCCCCCAGAUAAUAGAAAACGCCUCAUGGACAAAUGCCCAACUCCAGAGAUACUACAGCUGGCUCCCAGACCCACAGAGCAAAGCGGUAGAUCCUAUUUAUUAAAUGAAGAUAGUUGAAAUUUACUUUGAGAGCUAUUCUACUUAGAUAACAUAGAUCACUCAUGAGGAGCUGCAAUUUAUGAAGUGGUUAAUUUUGAAUAGUUUGAUAGCCACUAUGAGACAUGUUGGUUCAUAGCCACUUUGAGAACAGGAAGACAUCUCCCCAAACUUGGCUAACCAGAAUGAAUGGAGUUUUCAAUUUUUUUUGGAGUUUUCAAAUGUGGACAGUAAAAUGCACGAGAACAACCAAAUUAUUCAAAAUUUACCACUUGAUAAAUUGCAGCUCCACUCGAGUGAUCUAUAUCAUUACAUGCAGUUGUGGGUUGCAAUAUAUUGGCAAAACCUACCAAAAAUUUUGUAAAUGUAUAUUACAACAUAAAACCACAAAAAAUCUACAAUACAAAUAUCACAUCUCUCGACACCAUAUAAUUUAUAAAAAAAGAUGUAUUAUUGAACUCACAAAUGCAGGUAGUUAGCAAGCAGAAUCAAUAAUCGCUGUAUCAGGGAUCCGUUGAUGUUUCAGCUCCCAAAUAUUUUCGGUAUGAUCGUCCUAUAGAGAACAGGUUGGACAAUGCCAACAGGUCUGGGAACCAUGCUUGGCUUCUCCAUAAUGAUGCUAUUAGUAUCAUUGUUGUCUUGGACAUGCAGAGUUUGUGGAGUACUCUUGCCAACAUCGAGAAUGGUGGGAAGGCAUAGGCUCCGAUCUGGGGUCAUUGUUGUAGAAAUGCGUCUACCGCAGUUUUUCUCGCCAUUAAAUGGUCUUUCUAAAGAUACAAUUAUUUUCAUCAUAUCAUAUAAUGUACUAUAAAAAAGAUUAUAAAAUAUGCUGGUCAUAAUGCACCCAUGUCCUAUUUGGGACAUUUAUUUACUUGGCCAAUGUAAUUUGCUCUUAUCAAACCAUAUAUUUUUGAAAAGUAGACACCAUAGGGUAUUUCAAAUGGUGGUAUUUUAACACUUUCCAUGCACUAAUGCUACCACCAGUCUUUGUCAGACAUUUGGGUAGUCAUUUUUUUGUGGUGUUAUUUUUCACACACAUUUUACUUUAGGCAUGGAUUCUCAGCUCCUGUUAAGUGUUACUGCCAAAGAACACCCCAAUACGUAUUCAGCAACAUCUCUUGAGUACAGUGAUACCACCUAUGCAUAGGUUUGUUGGGUUGUUUGGGGUGGGGGUGGGGGUGCAAUGCCAAACAUCUGAUGUGUUUUUCAAAUUUUACAUAUCUAAUUUGCCUGUCUUCUUUUUGGGGGCCUUUUUACAUAUCCUAAUUUAUUUUCUUGCCAUGAGCGUGCAUAUAUUUGAAUAGUUGACACCCUGAGUUAUUGAAUAUGGAGUAUUUUGAUGCCUUUGAUGCAAUCGUUUUAGUAAAAAAAAAUUGAGAAAAUGUGUGGUGGUAAUUUUUCCAUUUUCAUUUUUACACACAAAUUGCUUUUUUACUGUGAUUUAGGAGAGCCUGUUGUUGGUAUUGCAAGAAAACACUCCAGGUUGUUUUCUGCAAGGCCUCCUGAGUACAACCAUGCCCCCCAUGCAUAGGUUUGCAAGGAUUUUGGGAAGGUUCAGUUACAAUUGUAUGACUUGUUGUUUGAGUUGAAAUUGAGUGUAUUUCUACUGAUAGGCCUACCUUUAGUUUGGGGCUUAUCACAUACCCCAGUUUUAUUUAUUGCCAGGAACAUGUAUAUAUUUGAAAGGUAGACACCCCAAGGUAUUGUAUAUGGAGUGCUUUGAUGCAACCGUUUUAGCCCAAAAAAGAGAAAAUGUGUGGUGGUUAUUUUUCAAUUUUCAUUUUUACACACACAUUACUUUUUGACUGUGAUUUCGGAGAGUCUGUUGUUGGUUAUUGCAAGAAAACACUCCAGGUUAUUUUCUGCAAGGCCUCCUGAAAAAUGGACCAGUGUGUGGUAACGUUUGAAGCAGUCCCCAAUGCAGAGUCCAGACUGUCCAGGGCAAUCAGGACAGUAAUAUCCUUUUGUCUGCCCCCUCUUAAAACAGACUCUGCAUCUUUUUUGGGGAAUCCUGCUUGCCCGCAGUAGGGGCGAUUUUAAAAAUAAAAUGUGUAGCCCCAACUGUGCUCUCUCCCAUCUCCACCUGGGGAGCAGGUGCAUCACGGUACAAAAUCUCUGAAAUAUUCUGGAACUCCAACUGUAAAAAACUCAGUUGCAUUCCGGGGUUUGCUUUUUGAACAAUAAAAAAAGUUGUGAGUUGCAAUGCUCAUUAAGUAGAUUGCAAUCUUUUUGUAACAGGCCCUUGUCUUCCGUAUAAGUAGGUAGGGCUGCAGCAGCUGAUCUGCUAAAUCAACCCCACCCUUAUGCCGGUUAUAGGCCUUGAUGCACACUGGCUUCCUUGUGCUCUCAGCUCUGCCACCUACAGAGACCUCCACAGUCCUCUCAGUAUGGAUGGUGGUAAGAAGGUACACAGCUAAACUGCCAACAGCUCCUCUUGGCACAGAGUUGAGGUCUCCCCCCUUCGUAGCCGGGUGAGUGCAUGUUGUCUUGGAAAACCUGGGCGGUUCUUUUUUUUUCAAUUUGACAAUUUUUAUUAUUUUGAGCAAUUAAGGGUACAGAAAAGAAGAGGGUGGGGGGGUUGUAAAUAGAUUUCAUCAAUGCACAAUACAAGAUGCAAAGUAUCAACUCUUAUACACCUGGCAAUGAAAACACGUAUGGUGUACAUGUCAUGUACGCAGCAAACAUUGUGUUCCACUUUCCUCACAGGUCAUAAUACUGUGUUCAUACAUUUGGCAUAUCCCCAUAGGGGGUCUAAUAAAUUCUCCCAUAUGUCACUCUCCACGUCCCCACGUCGGCCCGCAGUCUCCCACCCAUUUGGAAGGUAUAUUUACAUUUAGUCACAUUUAUUUGGUAGGUACAUUCACAUUUAUUUGGUACGCAAUCUCCACGAGUCCCACAUAUCCCACGUUUUCAGGGAGGUGUGAUUCGGUGGGAACAGUGUUUUUAAUCCUUUCUCAUAUGAACACUGUGUGUCCAGGUCUGUGAGUAAGCGCAGUACACAAGGGGGGGUCGUUUGUUUCCAGUUUUGAGCGAUUAAUCGCUGUGCUGUUAGUACUAUAUGCUGUAGAAGUUUUUGUGUGGCCUUAGGUGGUCCCCUUGGUAGGUCAGUUAGCCACAGCUGUUGGGCUGCUAAGGGAAUGGAGCAACCAGUUGCUGCCUGUGCUGUUUUAUGGACACCCGCCCAGAGGGUCUGAAUGCGGGGGCAAGACCACCAAAUAUGUAGGACAGUACCCUCUGCAUCAUUGCAUCUCCAGCAUAUGUUGGAGGUAUAUGUUGGAGUAUGUGAGGGAAGUGAUCAGUGUUGCCAGUGACAAACCGGUGUGGCCACUUAGCAGGUUUGUAUGUUUGUCCCAGAGCUGCAGAAGUAGCCUAAUCGUGGGGGGUGCCUGAGGCAGCUGUGGUCUAGAUUUUUUGGGUAUCCAUAUUAUGUUGGCCAAAGCAUGUGGGGCCAUAAGUUCUCGUUCCAAAUGCACCCACUGUGGGGGGGAGGCAUGGUGAAAAUGUGGAAGGGCAGUGGCUAUGACAGUUGCACAGUAAUACAUGUGCAUAUUGGGUAGCGCUAGACCCCCACUAUGUUUAGGUGCAUUGAGCAAGGCCUGGGUCACCCUAGGUUUGUCCCCUUUCCAUACAAAAUGAUUUAUAGCUGAUUGGACCGUUUUGAAAAAGGAUCGGGGGAGCUCCAGUGGCAGGUUACGAAACAAAUAGAGCAGUCUGGGGAGGAUUGACAUUUUGACCGCUAUGACCCUCUCCAUCCAGGACAAGAACAUUGGGGACCAUUUCUUAAGUAGGUUACGGCAGCUAUUCCAUAGAGUUACAUAGUUUGCAGCGAAUAGGUCUGUGUGGGCCUUCGUGUAUGUAAUCCCUAGGUAUUUAAGUGUGUCCAUUCUCCAUUCGAACGUGUAGGCCUGCUGAUGUUGUUUGACCAGAGUGGCUGGUAGAGAUAUGCAUAGUGCCUGCAUUUUGGAUGCAUUGAGGGAGUAGUAGGACACUCUCCCAUAAUCCGAUAUCAUCCGCAUAACUACUGGGAGCGUGGUAUGUGGAUGAGUUAGGUAUAAUAAAAUGUCAUCCGCAAAAGCCUCCACUUUGAUCUCUUUGUGGCAGACCUUCACUCCCUGGACCUCACUGUUCAUUCUAAUCCCCUCCAACAAGGGCUCUAAAGCCAGAAUGUACAGCAAUGGGGAGAGCGGGCAUCCCUGCCUUGUCCCAUUUGUUAUGUGGAAUGGGGAGGAGAGGAACCCCGAUUGGAGCACUUGUGCUGUGGGACCAGCGUAUAGUGCAAAUAUUUGUUGGCUAACUCAGGGUGGGACUCCGUACGCCUCCAAAACCCCUUUAAGAAAGGGCCAGCCAAGGCGGUCGAACGCCUUUUCGGCAUCUAGUGCGAGUAGUAGACCGCCCUGUCUGGCCCCCAGAGCUGCUGGAGGACCACUGAUAGUUUGCGGGUGUUAUCCAGGCCUCAUCUGCCUUUUACAAAGCCAGUUUGUUCAUCUUUAAUAAGUGAGGGCAGCAGAGGGGCAAAUCUGUUUGCUAAAAUCUUUGCGUACAGUUUAGCAUCAGUAUUAAGUAGGGAGAUGGGGCGGAAGUUAUUACAAUUGUCAGUCGGCUUAUCAGGCUUUGGUAAGGUCACUAUAGUGGCCAGUAGCAUUUCCGUCGGCAGUGCUCCCCCCUCCAUCGCCUGGCGACAGGUCUCCAACAAGUGCGGAGCUAACGUCGAGGCUAAUUUUUUUAUAGUAUAAAUUAGAGAGCCCAUCCGCUCCGGGCAAGUCCUUGAUAGUGUCCUCCACUUCAGUCAACGUGAGGGGGCGCGUCAGGACCUCAAUCUGGCUUUGCGAAAGCUUUGGCAGUUUAAUGCGGUCAAGAAAUGUUUUCACUUCUACUUCAGUGGGAGUGUGUGUGUUGGGGUCAUCUUUCAGGUUGUAUAAUUAAUUGGAGUAAAAUUGGGCGAAUGUGUCGCUAAUCUCUUGCGGCCCCAAUUUCUUUGUCCCGUCCUCCCCUAGAAUGUGUGUUAUCCUAUUAGUUGAGAGUUUGUCUCGCAACCUUGCUGCCAAGUAUUUGUUAGCUUUCCCACUGGAAUGAUAAGUAGUAGCUUUUAGCCUAUUCAAAAAGUAUGUGGUUUUCACUGCGUUCAGUGUAUGUAAUUUGUGGUAAGCUUGCUGGAUUUCCGCAGCAAGUUCCUUAGUUGGGGUAGUUUUAUUCCUGUCUGUCAGUUCAGAAAUCUGCUUAUGGCACCGGAGAAGCUCUCCCUGCCUUUACCUUUUUAGGUAUGCGGAUCGUUUAAUGAAUAAGCCUUGGACGACCGCCUUAUGGGCCAGCCAAACCGAAGUUUCCAAUACAUUUCCCCCGCUAUUGAGGUGGAAGUAGUGGUCUAAUUCGUCUUUUACAAGACCGGCAAAGGAAUCAUCAGAGAACAGUGACUCAUUAAGUUUCCAAUUCCCUUUCCCCCUGAAUUGGAAAGUGUCGUGCAAUGUGAUGUAGACUGGGCAAUGCUCCGACCAAGCAAAUGAUUCUAUUUUGCAGUCUGCCAUUUGGGCUAGGGAUGUGCUAUCGAGCAGGAACGUGUCUAUGAGGGAAUAGGUAUUGUGUACUGCGGAGUGGAAUGUGUAGUUCUCCAGCCAUUGUAGAGACCAUGUUUAGAGAUGAGGGCAGUGAGACUUUUGCAGGUGUUGGAUAGUCGUCUACCCCUAUUGCGGGUUGGCUUAGCCGAUGUGUCCAACUGGAUAAAGUUAAAGUCCCCACACAGUAUAAGGCCUCACUGGCGGUGGUCCUCCACUAUCUGGAGAUGUUUGGUUAGGAAAUUUGCAGAGUCAGAGUUAGGGAAGUAGGCUGUAACCAGUGUGUAUUGCGUUGCAUUAAAAAGGCCCACUAAUAUAAUAAAUAUCCCUUGCGGGUCAAUGUAUUGUCUCUAGACAGUCAGGGCCACGUCUCUGCUAAUGAGAAUCGACACCCCUUUUGUUUUGUUAGCGGAUUUAGCAUGACAUUGGAUGGGGUAAUGCUUAUUAAAUAACCUUGGUUCCGUUGAUGACUUAAAAUGGGUCUCCUGGAUACAUGCUAUAUCAAUAUGUUGGUGUUGCAGAGUCUGAAACAGUAGGUUUAUUUUAUUUGGGGAAUUAAGCCCCUUUAUAUUGUAGGAGACUAAUGUGGUUAGGUACCGGAUAAGUACUGACUCAAGUCUCCCAGUGGUAUAGAGUGUAUGCUGAUGCCGUCAACUAAUACGUUGUUGCGGUUACCAUACAGGUUAGGUAUGACACAUAAUGAAAAUACACUUAAAGUACAUCCCCCUUACUAAUGGCCAUAGGACCAGACUAGGCAAUUGACAAAGGCACAACAAAUUAACAUAUUUGGAACAGUUAGUGAGAGAUUGGUCUAGCAAUCAUGCAGUAUAUACUCAGCCUCCUUUUUAGGCCGUGGACCAGUCCGCGGACAUUCUGGUAUCUUUGCUGCAGGUUGCAGCUGUAUGUCCGGUCCAGGGAGCCCCCAGUCCGCCAGUUUCUUCACGCCCUCCUCCACGGAUGCGAUGGGGUGGUUGGAGUUGUCAUUUGGACGAUGAGUUUGGCCAGGAAGCCCCACCGGUACGGAACUUCAUGUGCUCUCAGUGUGGUGGUGACAGGGGCUAAUGACUUGCGGAAUAGGAGUAUAUGCGCUGACAGGUCUGCAAAAAUCUUUAGGCCCCCAUAUUGAGAGGAUAAGUUGCUGUGUCUGGUAGGUUUGACAAUCUUCUCCUUUACAUGGAAAAAGUGCACUCUAGUGAUGACAUCUCUGGCCGUCGAAGCUGGGAGGUGUUGAGGCCUCCUGAGUCUAUGCGUCCUAUCCAGGCCCACCUGCUCCGGGUGUACUUCAGGUAUUAGUUCCAGGAAAAAGGCCUGGAGGUAAUUGUGUAAGGCCUCAUUCGUGACAGAUUCAGGGAUACCCCUAAUGCGCAGGUUAUUUCUCGUGGAUCUAUCCUCCAGAUCAGCAAUUUUCAGCUUCUUCACAUGAUGAAGUUGGUCUGCCAUGCUGUUAUGCGCUGAGGCAUGUUUACCGACUGUGUUCUCUAUGUGGGAUGUGCGUAGGCCCAAGUCCUGUUCACCUUCAGAGUUCACCUGCCAGUUACUUCAUCUGGCCUGUAAUGGUGCCCUGUAGCUGCAAUGUGAAGUCCGCCAUGAAGGACUUUGUCGCUAUUGUGAGGGGGCUAUCCUCCAGUAUUGAGUUAGGCAAGGAGGGGGGGCGGAUGGAGAGCCCUCCCUGGCCACUUACGGCUUUAGUCAUAAAGAAGGAGGCUUUGUCCGCUUUUGUCGGCUUCUUGGCACUACGGUGAGACAUUGCGCCAGUCUCUGCAGGUAUUCUGCGGUAGAUAAGCUGUGUAGCCCGGUUAGUUUCUCCCCUGGCGUGUAUCUCCUCGGAGCUCUAAGGAGACAGGUCCAUGAGGCUCGGGUGUUAGGCCACGCCCCUGGGCGGUUCUUUUUUAUUGUACCGCAAGCUACUGUAUCAAAACAAUAUAAUAGCUUGAACAAAGGGACACUUGUAUAACAAUUGUCUGUAUAAGUGGUACCCUUUGUUCAUCAGGGGGAAUAUUAGGUCCCAGACAAUUGUGCCACUGGUUCCUAUAUGUUCUGGGCAACCUGGAGGGUCAAUGUGGGUAUCCUUUCCCUUGUACACCGGGAAGGCCUGAGUAUACCCAGUCUCGCUAUCACAGAGCUAAUACACCUUUACACCAUACCUGGAGUGCUUGGAGGAAAUAUACUGCUUGAAUUCCAGCCUUCCCUUCAUCAGGGUGUCACCCACACAUAUAUUCCUUCCAGCCUCUGCAAAACUGGCAGCGAAGUGGGUAAUCAGGGGGCAGAUUUUAUACAGUCUGUCAAGCUGGGGAUGCUCCCCAGGGGGACACAGGCUGUUGUCGCUGAAGUGCAUGAAAUGUAGAAUCAUUUCAUACCUCUUCCUCGACAUACACUGGGAGUAAAUGGGGAUAGAGCAGAUGAGGCUACUGCUCCAGUAGGAGCGGAUGGAGGGCUUCUUUAUGAUACCCAUCAGCAUAGUCAAUGCCCAAUAUUUACAGUACAUACAGAAAAGACAUACAAAUUUAACAAGGCACCAGAACAUAUGGGCACUUUUUUAUUGAAACAAAUAUUAGCAUAAUAUUUAUUUAAAGCAUAUAAACACGUCACAACAUAGGACAUUUGUGUAUAAAUUGCUUUGCAGACAAACUUAAAAAUAUAAAUUGUGUACAUUUAUUUAAUUUUAAAUGUUCUUUUAUUGGUUCAUCCUAUUUAAAAAUAUUUGGAAAAUGAAAUGAUUUAGAUACUAAACAGUGUAACAUUUCACAAAGGGUCUGAAACAUCAGCAAAAAAAAAACAAAGAUGCAAAUUCUCUCACAAACAGUACAUGUGACAAAAUAGAUAAAUAAAAAUGGUCAAAUUCCUUGCUUAUGGGUCUUUCCAAUGACCAUGAAGGCAUUACUAGCAGUGCAGCUUACUGAAAAUGGCAACAGAAUGUAAAAAGAAUGCUUGCAUUUUUGCAUAAUGCAGUAAAUACUGUUAAAUUAUAUAUUUCUAAAAUAUAGGUAUUUAAAUUGCUAUAGCAUUCUUGAUCAAUCUCUGGGCUCGUAAUGUACUGCUGACAGUAAAAUGGUAGAGUCCACUCACUUCUUUCUUCUCCCUGAUUGUAGGAAUGAUAUGAACCAUUGAAAAUUACUGUAAUGUUUGAAAGCUACUUUACAUGCAUUAUAUCAGUGAUUAGUAACUUCUGAGAAAUGCAUUCCUUUACAGGCUGAUAAUCAUAAUCAGAGUAUAAGUGAGGGUAAAUGAGGCUUUAUUUAUUAGAUUAAUGAAUAAACCCAUAAGUGUACUAUGUGGAUACUUCCCAUAAUUCAUGAUUGCAUGUUAUAACCCCAUUUUAUGUUGGUUCUCACUGGUACUGUUAAUUUUGUCACCUCUCUACAGUAUGAUCUAUCACCAAGUUUUUUUUUUUUUGUUGUUAGUGAAACUAGUAUCUUGUAGAGAUAACCCACAAAAUAAUAGGUAGAAUUCUGAAGUAAAUUAAUAGUUUAUUUAACUUACCCCCUUUUUUAUAUGAUUGGGGAAUGCAGCCUCAUGUAUUACAUGGAAAAAGAGAAGCAAAUAUACAAUAGUGAGUAUAAUAAAACAUAAUAGUGAACAAUGGUAAUCUAUUGAGAUUUUGUGCCUCUAGGUAGCACACCAACCCUUUUGACAAUAUUGUCUACCAAUAAUGCAGAAGAGCAAUGCACAAAUAGUGUAGUAUUCUCUAGACGGAUUGGACUUUAACAGUAGCAAAGCAGAAAAAACUUGUUCACUUGAUCCAGAGCCUAACUUAACCAGCUCUGCGUAAAAUAGCAUUGUACCUAAAUGGCGAUGGCACUCCCCUCCUUUGAAGUAAUCUGAUCUGGAUCCAUGUACAAAGUGCAGCUUAAGGAGAGAUAUACUGAAGGUAUCAGUAGUUAUGUAAAACUUAAAAUUGUAUGCUGAAUAAAAAUCAAUCUUAAUUCCUUCCAAAUGCCUCUGGAAUGAAUCUCACCUAUAAUGGACUAAGUCAACAGAUUGACAAAGCCCAUUAUAGGUGGACCGCAUUUUGGAGGGAGGGUAAGUUCACUGAACUAUUAAAUCACUCCAGUAAUCCCUUUAUUGUUUUGUAGGUUAUGUCUGAAAUACAGUACUUUCACAUAUUUUAAUUUGGUGUCUCGUGAGAGAAAAACACUAAACGAGUUUGGAUGCAGCUUAAUUUUAUUUCUACUCUCAUAUUUAUUGAGUGAAGUGUCUGCCUCCACUUGGCAUGAGUCACUUUUUUUUUUUAACUUAAGUUGUUUUAUAGGUUUAUCAACUAAAGUAAUAAUUCAAAAUAAACUCAAAGUUAAUUUAAAAUUUUAAGUCAGAAUAGCUGAACUGGAAAAAAAUCUCUAAGCUAACUAUGUUGUCAUUUAAAUCAUUUGGAACUCACUUUGAAUUCUCACUUUAGUAAAUAAACAUGCUAGUUUUACUGAAUUAGGGUAUUGGUUGAAAAUUAGAAAAAGUGUAUAUGCAAAGAAUAAAAAUUUAAAAUGUUUUUUACUUUAAUGUUCAGCAUUGUCUUAGGCAUUCUAUGGUAUCCCUUAUUUUGCAAUAUCUGCAGAUUACUAUUGCAAAAGGCAAACCAUUCCUGUACUCUGCUUAGAAAACUCUUAUCCAGGGGCGGACUGACAACUCAUGGGGCCCCUGGUCAAUCAUGAGAUCAUGGGGCCCGCCUUGUACCCACUAUCUUGCAGGAUGCACAAAUAUACAUAAUGCAGACAUACAUGCACCACCUACAUAUACAUUCUUGUGUUAAAGAAAGGGUUGUAAUGUGGGGGGAGUAGGGACUUCAGUGGGGGACAGGAGCUGUAGCGUGUGGGACUGGGGCUUUAGUGCGGAGAUAAGGGCUCUAAUGUGCAACAGGUGCUCUAACGGCGGAAUAGACACUGUAGUGGGGUAUAGGGGUUGUAAUUGGGGAUAGUGUGGGGCUUGGGUGGUUAGGGAAUGUCAUGGGGGAUAGGGGCUGUAGUGGAGAAAUCGGGAUUAUAGUGGGGAAACAAUGGCUCUAAUUGGGAAACAGGAGCUGUAGUGACGUGGUAGGGGAUGCAUUGGGAGAAGAAAGGAUGUAGUGGGGCAUAGAGGAUGAAUUUGGGGAAUAGAGACUGUCUUGGUGGAUAGGGCCCUGAGUGGGACACUGCAAUAUCACAAGUGGAUUGUAAAUUGUAGGCUACAUAGCAAAAUAAUUGGCUUACAAGGAGGUAUGUUGUUAUUGGUGUUAUAGCUGAUACAUUGUAGAAAGAGCUCAAGCUGCCCUGCUAUUAAGUAUGGGGUCUACGAUGUUAAAGGAAACUAUAGUGUCAGGAUUACAAACAUGUAUUCCUGACACUAUAGUUGCAAGAGCACAUUUUAGGUCCCCAGUACCCCUCUGUCUCCAUGGCUGAGAUCAUUAAAUUUAACGAUCCCAGCCAAUCCAAUGCUUUCCAAUGGGAAAACAUUGGGAGGCUAUUGCACAUACGUGGCAAAACAAUGUGCUGUGUCAGUCAGCAUAUCCUCAUAGAGAUACAUUGAAUCAAUACAUCUCUGUGGGGAGCAUUCAGCGUCUCCAUGCAGAGCGUAGAGACACUGAACAUAAAUGCUACACACUGCGCAGCACUAACCCAGGAAGCACCUCUAGUGGAGAUCUGAGUGACUGCCACUACAGGUGAUCCUAGGCGGUAAUUUAAACACUGCCUUCUUUCUGAAAAGGCAGUGCAUACAUUAAAAAGCCUGCAGGCACAGGCUAUAGACACCAGAACAGUACAUUAAGCUGUAGUUGUUCUAAUAACUAUAGUGUCCCUUUAGGUUUGCCUCUGAUAUAUUAUUCCCCUGUGUUGUUAUAUGAAUGCUUUGCACUUAGUGGUGGAACUACAGUAGAGAGGGCACUGUUGAAAUAAUUUUUGGGAGGCACCGCUGAUUGCAAAGAUGUUGUUCAACUGACACAAUGCUUUGCCAGCUGGGGAUCUACCAUUUGCCCAUCCUUGCUGGAUUGUAUUUCGCACAGAGCAGCGUUUGUAUGUUUGAAUGUAAGUUUUUGUAUAAAGUAUCUGUGUGUGAAUGUAGGAAUGUAUUUGUGUGUAAUGUUGUGUGUUUUUAUGUGCUGUUGCCAUAUGAAAGCAGUGGUUUACUUGUGUGUAAUGUUUGCUUUUGAAAGUAGGGGUGUAUGUGUGAAGUGUUAGAGUUUGAAUGCUGAGAUGUAUACACAGACACACACAGAUACACAGGUACAGACAUGCAGAUACACAGGCACACUGACAACAUACAGAUACACACACUGACACACAUGCAGAUCAGUUAGUUUUGUCGACAAAAUUUUAGUCAAGUUUUAGUCGACUACAUUUUUUGAGAUUUAGUCGACUAAAACUAGACUAAAGCUAAAACAAUUCAGAUGACUAAAAUACGACUAAACUAAAAUGGCUGAAUGACUAAAACGAAAUUGGAAUUUGCCGCCAAAAUUAACACUGAUGCAGAUAAACAGAAGUACACUAACACCAUACAAAUAUACAGACACAUAGAAACACAGAAAAACAAAUACAUGUAUACACAUAUACACUGUCACAUACAUACAGACUCACAUACAGAUACACAGGUACAUACAUGUGGAUUCACAGACACACACUGACAACAUACAGAUACACACACUGACAUGCAUGCAGACACACAUGCAGAUACACACACAGACACUGAAACACAUAUAGAUACAUACAAACAGUGGCACACAUACAGACACACAUUGACACACAGAUAUACAUGUACACACAGAUAAAAUGCACAAAGAUUACAUAUUUUUAGCCACCCCCCAUACCUUUUUAAUGCAGGAGGGUGGAUUCCCUGUGGUCCAGUGGCAUCUGGCUGCGUGUGAUGGGAGCCAGUGUUACAGGCUCUCUUCCGGUCCUGGCUCUUAGCCUGUCUCCCUCCUGUCUCUCUUUCGCGUGGUAACUUGGUAUGCUGGGGGGAAAUUACUUAUACUCACUUCCUCCUAGCACCGCAGCAUUACACACCGCAAGGGCACGGUCGGCACCUGACUGGGCCUCUGAUAAGAGAUGUCCAGUGAUGGGCCCCAAGGGCAUACCUAGAGCAUUUUGCAACUGAGGCGGAUCCUAUAUUUGGUACCCCGCCCCUCCCCCCCAACUUUAAAAUGUAAAACAUUUUUUUAAAUGUUUUUAAUGUUUUUACCACUGAGCAGUGUUAGUGUGUUUGAACGUAAGCAUGUUUUUGUAUGGAGUAUGAGUGAGUGAAUGUAGAGGUGUCUGUGUUUGUAUGUAGUGUUGGCAUUUGAAUUCAGGCGUGUAUUUGUGUGUAGUGUCGUUUUUGAAUGCAGUGGUGUAUUUAUAUAGAAUUGUGGUGUUUUAAUACAGAGAUGUGUUUGUAGGUAGUGUUGACAUUUGAAUGCAGGGGUGUGUUUGUAUGUAGUGUUGACGUUUGAAUGCAGUGGUGUGUUUGUAUGUAAUGUCGACAUUAGAAUCCAGGGGUGUAUAUGUGUGUAGUGUUGAAGAGAUGCUGAGAUGUAUGCACAUAUAUACAAACACACAGAUACACACACAGACACAAACAUGGGCACACACACAGAUACACAGACACACACACAGAUACAGACACACAUGCAGCUUCAUAGACACAAACACUCAAACAUACAGACAGACACACACAUACACACACUGAUACACAUACAGAUACAAAGAGACACACACAUAUUACAGACACACAUGCAGCUACAUGGACUUACAUAGACACAAACACUCACACACAUACACACACACACACACACACAAAUCACAUGCAUCUACAUAGACACAAACAGAUGCACAUAAAUACUCUAUUACAGAGCCCCCUUCCGCUCCAAAACCCCUGCCCAGUCUCUUAAUAAAAAAUCAACAAUAAGAAGGAAAGGCUACCUACAUUAAAAAGAAUGAUAUGGCCCAAAACCAAUCGAUAGUGGAGCGAGCAGAAAGGCAGCUCUGAUCCUUCUGUGCCGCGCACUGUUAGAAGCACCGUGAGGGCAGCGCAUGCCGACGUCAGUACGUGGCGAUGCGCACCUCCCGGGUAAGCAGCAAUGGGCCCUGCCCCCUCCCAGGCAAUCAGCGAUGGGCCUCCUCACGGUUAAGCACCGAUAGGCCCCCUCCUGGGUAGCGAUGGGCCAGAGGACUGCGCUGUUAAUUAAGUGUCUGACAGUGCACACACAGAAUAGCUGGUCGGCGGGCCCCUUUCCUCGGUCGGGCCCUUAGACCAUGUCCGAAGUGCCCGACCGCUCAGUCCGCCCCUGCUCUUAUCCAUCUCUCUCAGGGAGAAGAGAGAGGCUACAUUUAUACUCACUCUGAAGAAAUGUAAAGAAAUAUAAUAGAUACCUUGCAAUGAAAAAAGUUUGCAACUCAAAUCAAAGGUUUGACUGUGUAUAACUGAAUACAAUGUGUAUACCUUUAACCCCUUAAGGACACAUGACAUGUGUGACAUGUCAUGAUUCACUUUUAUUCCAGAAGUUUGGUCCUUAAGGGGUUAAACUGUAUAACAUGCUGUUGGCAAAGAAAAGCUAUACGGGUUGUUUUUUUUUUUUAUUUUAGAAUUCUCACUUUACUGAAUAACCCUGUAAGCAAUUUGUUGUAAAUCUACUAGGUCUAAAUUGCAGAUAUUUCUGUGAAGUUAAAACUUUUUAAAGACAUGAAAAUAAUCGAAAAAUCCAAUAUUCAACCACAAAGCACUGGCAAAUAUAUUAGAGUAUUAUUACAGAUAAUUUAGCACUUCAGUAUGCCAUCCAAUUUUAAUCUAUGUUGCAGUUAGCAAUUUUAAACAUUAGUUAAAUUUUAUCUUGAUAAUUCAUUCAUGUCCUUUUAUUCUGUUGGAUUACCUUUGAUUCACAUUUCAUGUACUGUAGUUUGAACCUUACAAAUGUGUCAAAAUUACAUCAAAAUCAUCUGCCUUAAUAUCUUCUCUGCACUCUACUCAUUGUAUAACAUGUAAUGGGCCAUGCGUGAAAUCAAAAUAUAAUUUUCCUAUAAAUUACUGCUACCUUUUAAAAGCACUCUUCUGCAACACUUAAUACUACAGUUUUUAUUUUGAUAAAUGUUGAAAUGUUUUUUGUUUGUUCGUAAUAGUAGAUUUUAUAGCAUAUGAUCUGCAUUUACAUUUGUUGUACUCUUAGGUAAUGGUUAAAAAGUUGCUUUAAGAAAAUAAAACAAAUGCAGUGAAGUAAAGAUUAUUAUUCUAGUAGUAUGUGGUCUCUCUUUAACCUUAUACCAUAAGAAGGGAUCUUUCCACAAAAAUCCAACUUUUAUAUUCAAAUAUAACUCAUUAAGCCAUCUGUACUUAAAGGGACACUCCACUGCCCAAAUACAAAAUAAAUAAAAAUCAUGUUUGGAGCACAUGAGAACCUUGUGAAUGAAGGAUUUAUAUUUUUAUUUAUCUGAUUUUAUUAGAUUUUAAUAUAGCUUAAUAAAUAUGUGUUGCUAAACUAUUCUAAAGUCUGGUGAACUUCAGCUUUAUAUCUGCUUCCCUACUGAAAGAAGGGUAGUGUCUCUCAACAAAAACUCAUAUUUUGGAAAACCUAGAGCCAGGCUACAGAGGCUCUAAAUAAGGUGAGCAGGCUAUAUACUUGCACAUGGUACUUAUUCUUUUUUGUACUGUACUACACUAGAAUCUGCUGCUUUCUUCUCUUUAUUUCUCUUUUGAGUACAUCUCAAAUAGACAGAAGAGGGUUCUGUACAGGAAUAGUACAUAUGCGAUUUAUGAAAUAAACAUUAAAAAAGACCUUAUAGGGGGGGCGUGGCUAGGCACGGAGAGAGAUGGUCGCAUGAGCCCUUAGCUCCGCACCACGAGCAAGGCAAUACCAGCUAAAAGUGGGAUUCCUGCGGGAAAUCGGACUCCACUUUGACGAUGUCGCAAUCCAAAACCCGUCGGCAUCAAGACAAGCCCGACAAACUAAACUUUUUCUCCCAGAAAAAAGUGGCGGCCCUGGCGAGACAACUAGCCGCGGCAGAUCACCAAGAUGGCGCCGACCUCUCAGGGGGAAGCAGCCCGAGGUCAGAGGCAGAAUCACCGCACGACGGGGAACCACUCACUGCAGCCUUCCUGAAACGGGCUCUGGAUGAACAAUCCCAAAGACUAGUAGCUACCUGGCAAUCCAGCGUUGCAGAACUGAAACGAGACCUGCAAGAUGUUGGAGCUCGUACAACGCACGUGGAGGCCAAGAUGGAAGACCUAGUCGACGCGCACAACUCGUCCGCAGAGCACAUUAAAUCCCUCACCGACCAACUUCAGAAAUGCGAAGCUAAGCUCAUGGACCUGGAGGACAGAUCCAGAAGGAGCAAUAUUAGGCUGAGGGGUAUACCAGAGACGGUCCUCCCAGCAGACCUGCCCAGCCAUGUACAUGGCUUUUUCAAGCUCCUAACCCCAGAAAUACCCACUGACAUGCUGCUGCUGGAUCGCCUGCAUAGGGUCCCAAAACCCCAACACAUAGCUACAUCUUUACCCAGAGACGUGUUGUUGAAAGCACACUACUUCCAUGUAAAGGACCUCCUGAUGAGAAGAAGUAGAACUGCGAAAGACCUACCUGCCGAAUACACUGGCAUCAAAAUGUUCUCAGAUCUCUCGGCAGCCACCCUGAAACAACGGAAAACCUUCCAACAAGUGACAGAAACUCUACGCGCCAACCGUAUCCUAUACCGCUGGGGCUUUCCAGUCCGCCUGAUCGUCUCCAGAAACGGAGCCACCACCGUGGUACAAACGGCAGAAGAAGGCAUGAACCUCCUACACCAGUGGAAUCUAUCCAACACAGGCGAAAUUCCAACCCCGAAACCACCGAGAAGAGUGGGCAAAGACUGGCAGGUUGCCGACUAAGGACUUACCGCAAGUAUAUCCGCUCCGGCGGUCGAUACACCCACAUAACUCUAAUAAUUACUAAUGACUCCCGGCAGCUAUGGCCCCCAUAGCCGGCCUGUUACAGCUUAGUAUCACUGCUCUUUGCAGUACGCAAAUAAUGUUAAUCUUUAUGUUGUUUUUAUAACUGUUCAUGUUGUUUGCAGAUAGUACUAGCAAUAUUGUGAUACAAUGUGCCUAAUAGUUUACCCGGUGUUGACCCAUACUAUCCCCCAGAAACACGGGCAAUCCCUGGCUACACCUUACUAGAGGGUCACCAUACGACUAAAGCACCCCCAUGAAAACAGACGCAGAAGCGGCAACAAGCACUGCGCACAACGACCGAUACACGUAAGUGACAGUGACCUACCCAAGCCACUCAGCAGGCAUAUCCAUAUAGCCAAAUACUGGCCCCUGCCUCGACCGAUGUACCCAAGGACCCCGAAGGCAAACAGCAGGGGCGAAUCGUUAACCCUGACCCCGACCACUCACUCUCAUCAGACUUGGGCUGCCACACGAUGGGAAAACAUACAGACUAACCCAAGUUCCCACCACCCUGCACCCGAAGAGUAAUCAAGGUAGAAGCCCCCUAACUUACGUCAGAAACACUGAGCACUGUUUGGCAGACAACACACUCACAGGACAAGUCCUGUUAUAGCUUAGUAUCGCUGUAAGUCGCAGUACGCAAACAAAUGUUAAUCUCUAUGUUGUUUUAUGAUCGCUCAUAUUGUGUGCAGGAGGUGCCGGCAAUAAUGUGUUGUAAUUUGCCUAAACGUUUAACGGGUGUUGACCCAUGUUGAACCCUCAGAAACAUGUGUAAAUCCCGUCUACACCUUAUUACACUGUCACCACACGACUACUGUACUCCAAUGACAAUAGCCGCAGAAAUGGCAACAAGCAUUGCGCAUAUCAACCAAUUAUAUGAGUGACAGAGACCCGCCCGACCCUCUCGGCAGGCAUAUCCAAAAAGCCACAUACCGGGCUCCGCCCCGACAGAUGCACACAUUGCCUCCGAGAUGUAAAUAGUAAGGAUGGACUGCCAACCCUGACCCCGACCACCCAACCUCAUCGAACUUGGGCUGCCCUAUGAUGGGAAUAAUUUACAAACUAACCCAAGCUCCCACCACCCCGAAACCCAAAGGGUUAUCAGGGACAGAGCCCCCCAUAUUAAGCCACAGACACCAAGCACCACAAGGCAGAUAAUAUAUUCACAGGACUAGUUUGUGGACCUAUACGCAAAGCUGGGAGACCCCCCCCCGAUACAAAACCUACCUAAAACUGCCGAUUACUACCCCCCUCUCCAACUGAGACUCCAUAAGAAAAUCUCACUAUAUUUACAUAUGGUGCUCUUUACUUAUUCCAUGACCCACACUCAGAGAGCACACAAGACCACAUCGGAUUAUUAUUGCUCCUUACCAGUGCACAUUGCACCGCAUACAAGUAGCCUGCUCAGACCAUCACCUAUCCACCAUCUCCGAUCCCACGCUCCCCACGGCGCUGUGCCUCAGCGCCCUGCACCGAGAUCGGGCUUAUAUGUAUAUACUUAUGUUAUCCAAGUUUUAUUCCUUUCUAUCCUUGUUCUACCCCCCCCCGAAUUACGUUACCCCCCCCCUCCCCGUCCAAACAUCCAGACAGCAACCUGUCAUACAAAAUGGAACCUACACACCCUCUUUCUACAGGCAAAGGUGCAUGUAACAAAUCACAUCUCAAGAUACUACCUUUAUCGAAAGCGGUCUACCUUAUAACACACACUGAUAGUCUAUUCCCAUAAUGUGCGAGGGCUCAACAUGCCACAUAAAAGACACAUGUUACUUCAGGAAGCUCGGAAAUCAAAAGCAGACAUACUGUGCCUUCAGGAAACCCAUUUCCCCAAAGCCAAAGUCCCACAAUUUGGAAUAAAGCAUUUCCCCCAUCAGUUUCACUCAACGCAUACAUCUAAAUCCAGGGGAGUUACCAUUUACAUACACAACUCGGUAGCCUUUGAACUUCUACACACUAUCUCAGACGACCAAGGCAGGUACCUAGUUGUUAUCUGUCUAAUGAACAACGUACAAUACACAGUAGUCAACCUAUACGCACCCAAUGAAAACCAGAGGAAUUUUUUGGCCAGUACCCUCACAAAAGUGGCAGCUGCACAGCGAGGCAACAUGAUAAUAUGUGGAGACAUAAACCACAUCCUAGAUCCAACCCUUGAUACCUCCAUGCCCUCCACCACCAGCCGCCAGAAAUCCCUCAGACCAACUUGUAAAGCCAUAACACAACUGUUGCUGAAAUUCAACCUCUAUGACUGUUGGAGAUUACUCCAUCCCCUAGACAGAGAAUACUCAUAUUAUUCUAAACCUCACAAGACAUACUCCAGGAUAGACGUAAUUCUUAUAACAGGACCCUCUCUCAACCUACUUCAAACAUGCCACUUGGGAGACAUCAUUUGGUCAGACCAUGCCCCAGUACUCGCUACAUUCAAAGACAACUUCACCUUUAGAGGUUGUAAUCCAUGGCGACUUAACAGCUCCAUUCUACACGACGAUAAAUUUAGAUCAGAAAUAGAAACAGAACUCAAACACUACUUCUCUGAAAAUGAGACAUCAGGGAUGUCACCGACAACGAUAUGGAGAGCCCAUAAGGCCGUGAUGCGUGGGUUGUUUAUAAGACGGUCCGCCUUCCUAAAAAAGGUCUCCCAAACAAAUUACCUGAACUUACUAAGGAAAUUGAGAGACGCCACGGCGUCCCACCUUCUCCGCCCAAACCCAGGAUAUGCCGCAAUCAUUGCCCAAGCCCAAUCAGACCUUAACGACAUAAAUAUAGCCAACACUACCCGAAUGCUCCAAAAACUGAAAACUAAGGAGUAUUGUUUAGGUAAUAAAGCCAGCUCACUCCUGGCCAACAGGCUUAGGGACACACAAGCACAAACCAAAAUAGCGCACCUCUUUUCCCACGAUGGACGGAAAAUAGUUCAACCACAGCAGAUCAGCGAACUCUUUGCUGAUUUCUAUAGUAAACUCUAUAACCUUAACCCCUUAAGGACACAUGACAUGUGUGACAUGUCAUGAUUCCCUUUUAUUCCAGAAGCUUGGUCCUUAAGGGGUUAAAGACGACUCCACGGUACACCAGCCCACGACAGGAGAAAUCACCACAUUCCUGGACAAGGUCCGCCUACCUACACUCUCAGUCUCUCAACAAGACCUUCUGGCUGAGCCCAUCUCACAAACAGAAGUGCUCAUGGUUAUACAAAACUUACCGUUAAACAAAACCCCAGGUCCAGACGGACUGCCAAACACAUAUUACAAGAAGUUCUCCUCUAUCCUCACCCCCCGACUGGCAUCACUUUUCGCUUUCACCACAGCACAGGAAAACAUACCGCAGGACAUGCUCAUGGCCAACGUGGCCACCUUACCCAAACCUGGCAAACCAUCAACCCACUGCGCUAAUUUUAGACCAAUUUCCCUGUUAAACUCGGACGUGAAGAUCCUGGCCAAAGUCUAUGCCAAUAGACUGACCUCCAUUCUACCGACUAUUGUGCACUCCGACCAAGUUGGUUUUGUACGAGGCAGGCAGGGAGCAGACGGCACACGGAAAGCCCUCGCAUUACUACACACCAUGCACAGACACUUCCCCAAUAGCCUUCUCUUAUCCUUAGACGCGGAGAAAGCCUUCGACCGCCUGCACUGGUCGUUCCUGCAGGCGGUCCUAAUUAAAUUUGGAUUUCCUUCACAAUUUAUUUCCAUGAUCAAAUCACUAUAUAGCAACCCUGAGGCCCGGGUCUUCACGUCUGGAUUCCAAUCAAGUUCCUUCCCCAUUACCAAUGGAACACGACAAGGGUGCCCCCUCUUCUCCCUCCUAUACAUAAUGGCCCUAGAACCUUUGGCUGAGGCCAUAAGCUCAACACCAGACAUAACAGGAAUAAAAAUUGGCGGGUCAGAAUAUAAAUUAAACCUUUUCGCUGAUGAUAUCCUCCUGACUCUAACCAAUCCACACAAAUCUUUACCAGCAUUCCACAGCUUACUGCAGCAAUAUAGCCAUUGCUCAUAUUACAAGCUGAAUCUGACUAAAACACAGGCCAUGGGGGUGGGGAUGGAGGACGACUAUUUAUCAGACCUGAGGAACCAAUUCUCCUACGAUUGGAGAAGAGAUCACCUCACAUUUUUGGGAAUUAAGCUCCCACACACUAUAUCUAACUUGUACCACCUAAACUAUGUCAAACUCAGCAAAGACAUCACUACUACCCUCCUAAACUGGAGGAAUAAAUUCAUAUCAUGGUCGGGACGAAUAGCAGCAGUAAAGAUGGUAAUACUACCCAAACUACAAUAUCUAUUUAGGACACACCUUGACAAUACCACCCACCUACUUUUUAUCCCUCCAGAAACAAAUUAACCUAUUUAUAUGGCACGGAAAGCGACCGAGAAUUGCCCUAUCUACACUCCACCGGCCAGUGCAGACGGGCGGCAUGAGCCUCCCCAAUGUGAAAUUGUAUUACAGAGCAGCGGUCUUAGCCGGUCUCUUCCCCAUUCAUCAACGCACGUCCCUCCCUCAAUGGGUUUCUUUAGAGCAACACUGGUUGCAAACCCAAGACAUCCAAACAACACUAUGGACGGCACCACAUCUAAGGGCGAACACCACGAAAGCACUCCCCGCCACCUUAACAACACUAAAAAUCUGGGAUAACACCCGCAGACUCCUGUGCAGCUGCCACCCAACUCCCCUCUCAACCCCAAUUAAAACUCUGGUGCAAAUGAUACCUGAUUUUAACUACAGAGUGUGGAACAGAUGUGGGGUAUUUUAUAUACACUCCCUAUUAGAAAAGAGCGAACUGGCCACAUUCGACCAACUGAAAACCAAAUACAUAUUGCCGAACACAGCAUACUACUCCUAUCUUCAUCUGCACUCCUGGUGGAAAAUCCAUGUCACACGUCCCAUAUCGCCUACCACCACUAUCUUAACGCCCUUUGAAAAAAGCAUAAUAGCAGAUACGCCAGUGGUAAAGCCCAUUUCCACCAUAUACAAACUAUUACAGCCCCAGCAAGGGAUUAAAUCCCUUGCAUGUGUACGCUCCUGGGAAAAAGACUUAGACCAAACACUAUCAGAGCAGACCUGGCUGGCCGCAGCGAAUGCGACCAGAGGCCUGACAUUCUGUGCCUCGCACUUAGAGACAACACGUAAACUCUUCUACCGUUGGUACAUGGUCCCAACACGCCUAGCCACCAUGGACCCACAGAAAUCUAGCGUUUGUUGGCGUUGCAAACAGGAAACAGGUACCUUUUUACACACCUGGUGGAAAUGCACAAAACUACAGCCAUACUGGAAAGAGGUUAUCUUAUUAAUACACCAACACACCUCAAUUACGAUACCAAACUCCCCAAAGUCCUUGCUACUAUUUAUAUUGGGUACCGACUACCCGAAACAGAUUAAAUACCUUAUACUCCACAUACUGGUAGCUGCCCAAAGUCUUAUUGCAAAAAACUGGUUAUCGACCACUAACGCAACAAUGCGAGAACUGAUCAGACACAUAUCCCAAAUUGGGAAAUUCGAAUCUAGCAUAUCCCGCAUACCACCUAAUAAAAGUUGGAGACAUGAGGUAUGGGAAAACUGGGAACUGAAGCACCCGACCUGAAGUAAGGUCAACAUGAAGUAGCCAAUCACACGCACAGUAGCAAUUCUGAGAGUAGACACGAACACUAAUAAACAUACACUAAAAGCCACAACUACCAAUGCACAUCCCACACAGGUAGAAAUGAGCAUUUAUUAUGACUGUGAACUGUUAAACGACGAAAUGAUGUAGGAUGCAUGUUCCAUUGUCCAUCACCCUCCCCCUUCUUCCUCUCUGUACCCCUCUAUUGCAUGUUUAUGACAAAAUAAAAAUUGUCAAAUUGAAAAAACAAAAAGACCUUAUAUGCAUGUAUGUAAAAAAAAUAAAACAGAAAAAAUGGUGUCAGAAUACCCUCAGGUAAACAACCUAUGAUGUCUACUUUAUAUAAAUCUAUACUUUUGUGUGGCAAUUUUGUUUUCUGUGAUGGCUAUUAAGCUUUCUAGACAAACAUACCAAAUGUUACACAAUGGAAUUUUAUUUUACUCCUUGUAUUUUGUAACCUGUGACUAUCAAAAUAAACUGAAAUCCUAGAUUUAGUAUGUACUUGGUAAAUCAGAACCAACAAAUGAAUUUGUUUUGAAUUACUUUUUAAAGUUCACUUAUUAUGCACACAUUAAUAUUGCCAAAAUUUUUUAUAUGAGAAUUUAUAUAUGUAUCUAUCAUAUUAAAUUAAAGCCCUUUUUGUUCUUUAAAAAAAAAAAAAAAACAGUAUAUAGUAUAUGCAUUGGUGCAAUAAAUGAGCAAAAUGCAACAACAGCAAACAAUGCAAAUAUUGCUUGUGCCCUUAAGUGCAAGGCAGGCGUCUAAAGCUGGGUCCUUAAAGCGGCACUGUCAUGCCGAAUCCUGUUUCUUUUUAACCCCCCUCUGGCCUCCACUACAUCUAACUAACACCGUAGUCACCCCCAAAUGCCCCUAAGCCCCCCACAUUACAAAUUUUUUAAUCUUUAUUUUCUGUCCCGAUCUAUAUUCAGGGCGCCGCCAUCUUUGUGUGGAUAGAUGAAGUCCCUGUGGGACACGUCAUCAGCCCACACUUGAUAGCCUGUGAGAUUCCCGCUCAUGCCCAGUGAAACACCUGGACAUGCGAAUGGGAAUUUCAUCUAUUCAUUCAUCCAUCAGACAGCCGAAUGAGUGAAUAGAAAUAUCAGCCGAACAAACAAACACUAUGUAUCAGUGUUCGCUUGUUCGUGCAGGUUAUUACAAGGAGGGAGCUACCGGGGGCCAUAGUGAGAAUGGGGGGGGGACCUACUCCCCCCCCGCGGCCCCCACCCCUGGGCGGCAGGUGGGGGCCAUAGUGAGAAUGAAGGGGGGGAGCCUACUGCCCCCCCCGGCCCCCAGCCCUGGGCGGCAGGUGGGGGCCAUAAUGACAAUGGGGGGGGACCUACUGUCCCCCCCCCGGCCCCCACCCCUGGGCGGCAGGUGGGGGGCCAUGAAGAUAAUGAGGGGGGGUACCUACUGUCCUCCCCCCCCGGCCCCCCACCCCUGGGCGGCGGGUGGGGGCACUAAAUCAAUUACCCCCCCACCCCACCAAGGUGACUAGGGGUCCCCAAGCCCCUAGUCACCCAUCCCCCACCCAAAAUAAAGUCCCUACCUACCCCCCUCACCCUAAAAAAUAGUGAAGGGGGAAUAAAAUAACGAACCUGUAAAAUAAAAUUAAACUUACCAUUCGACGUCUUCUUUUUUCUCAAAUCUUCAUUUUUCAGCCCCAAAAAAGGCCAAAUAAAAAACCAACAUAACCGUUGAAUUGAAAACAUAAAAAUCCCGAGCACAAAAAAAAAAACCUGACGAAAAAGAAAAAACCCAAGCGCAAAAAAAUAAUCCAUCUUCACCCAUGGAUUGAGCUCCGUAGGGCGGGGGAAGGCUUAUAAAGCCUUGCCCCGCCCUGCAAUUAGGCUAAGAACACUCAGAUUAGUGGGUUUAAGCCAAUCAGAGUGCUCUUUGUCAUUUUACACAGCAUGGAAAAAUUCUAAAGAAUUUUCCCACGCUGUGUAAAAUGACACAGAGCACUGUGAUUGGAUGGAUUUCAAGCCAUCCAAUCACAGUGCUCUGUGUCAUUUUACACAGCGUGGGGAAAUUCAAAAGAACUUUCCCACGCUGUGUAAAAUGACACAGAGCACUGUGAUUGGAUGNNNNNNNNNNNNNNNNNNNNNNNNNNNNNNNNNNNNNNNNNNNNNNNNNNNNNNNNNNNNNNNNNNNNNNNNNNNNNNNNNNNNNNNNNNNNNNNNNNNNGUGGAGUCUAAAGAGGAAGGGGUGGGUUCUUAAUCAAGAAGCGGUGCGCCCUUGACAUGAAGGAGUGGUAAAUUUAGAUUAGGGGGUGCUCUAUAGUCAUGUCUAGGGCAGCAUAAAAUGAAAAUACACCACUGUGUGAGUGUAUGUGUGUGUGUGUGUGUGUGUAUAUAUAUAUAUAUAUAUAUAUAUAUAUAUAUAUAUAUAUAUAUAUAUAUAUAUAUAUAUAUAUAUAUAUAUAUAUAUAUAUAUAUAUAUAUAUAUAUAUAUAUAUAUGUAUACACACACACAUACAUACAUAUAUAUAUAUAUAUACACAUACAUACAAGUGUUUUGGUUUUUUUGGGGGAGAGUUCCCACACUUUUUUCCCCAGGACUUGACACCUGCUAUAAGUGAGUAGGGUGAGGAUCCUAGGCCACUACCAGAGACCAUGGGGAGUGUUUAACCAAUACUGCGACAAUAAUGGGGGAUAGGCAGAGUCAUAAGUGACCGCUAAUUGGUCCUGUGACUUCUGUAGCUAAACUACAUAUAGGGGGAUAUGGAAUACCAAGCUAUGAGGGCAGUUUUGAGCUAUCCCGGUAGCACGUAGAAUAUUUAAUUAUGGUCGUGCCAGCAUGGGAAGGGGGGUGUAUGUGUGGGGAAUUAAGGAUCCCUGGGCGUGGGCCUGUGUACAGCCUGGUGGAGGAAUUGUGUGCCAGCAUUGGCUGAUGUAACAUAGAACAGUUAGAGUGGAGUUGCUGUAGGUUUGGUGAUACUAUGCCUGAAUAGCAAGGGUCGGUUAGGAUGAUGAACUUGCUUGAGUAGAAUAUAGCAGCGAUGAGUAAAUAACCUUUUGCAUAAUACGUGAUUAUUUUGACGUAGAGUCAGGGGGAACAUAUGAUGGUAUGGUAAAGCCUGGUACACUAGGGUUUGUCCCAGGGAACAUGACGAUACAUAUACUGAACAUAGGAGUGUGGCGUGUUACAAAUAGGUUUAGCGAAUAGGUGGUCGUCCGCCAAAUAAGUAAUAUACAUAUCAUGGGAGCAAGUAUACAGAUUGGCCAUAACACGGUAACAAAUGUGAACGUGAUGACUGCCUCAGAACAGUACCAAGUCCAUGAGUGAUAAAAUAAGACAUAUGCAAUAUAUGAUGGUAAUGAAAUAUACGUAGUGAAUAUUAAACGCUUACCAGAGCUGAAUUAGUAAUGGGGAACUGACAAUAUCCGUGCACAAUCGUAAAUAAUAACAAGAAACAUAGCAAACAUAACCAAACUACAGGGGGCAUGUGAGGUUAACUAGUAGCAGGCUAAAUACUUUCAAAAAAGAACCUGGACAUUCAUAUAUCAGGGAACAGUGUAAAACUAAGGAAUUGGUACGAUGACUGUGAUGGCCGCUAGAUGGAAGCAUGUAAAUGAGAUAGACUGGAGACUAGUUCGGUAGAAAUUUGACGAAAAGAAAGUAGCGAAUAUGAAUGGAACAAAGAGCAGGCAGGAGUAGGUGAACUGACUUAAGUCCUCAACAGGAAAAAGUCCAGAAUGGACGGUAUGUAAGAACGUAAACGUGUGAACAAUUGUGUGUUCAUGGAUUUGGCUCGUACAGGCAGACUCACGGUUCGUGGAUUUGACUGAUACAGGAAACAAACGACUUGACACGGAAGUUUGCGGUGAGGUGAGAGGUCAGCUAUGCGGCUGGAAAGUACCCAGACUUGGAGGACACGGAGGUUUGGCCCAGGAAAAGGCCCGGUAAGGGGUCUCAUAGCGCCGGCAAGAACGAACAGCCAGUUCUGGAGAGGAGGUGAGUAGUCUCAGACUGCGUGAUGGGAGUUGUUGGAGCAGGGAGAACUUGGUCUGAUCAUCGUGGGAGUCUCUGACCACAUGUGGCUGGAACAGCGUGAUGGGAGUUGUUGGAGCAAGGAGAACUUGGUCUGAUCAUCGUGGGAGUCUCUGACCACAUGUGGCUGGAACAGCGUGAUGGGAGUUGUUGGAGAAGAGAGAACUUGGUCGGAUCAUCGUGGGAGUCUCUGACUGCAUGUGGCUGGAACAGCAUGAUGGGAGUUGUUGGAGCAGGGAAAAACUUGGUCCAAUCGGCGUGGGAGCCACAGUAGGCCCAGACCAGCUUGUUUGGAGUUUUAGGCAGUGUGUGUUGAUGACCUUUGAACCGGGCAGCAUCAGCCCUGUGGUGUAGGGGGCCUGAGUUUAAAUAGCCGGGUAACCCCUCCCACAACUUUAGGCUAUGCCUUCCAAUAUAUACAUAUAUAUAUACAUACAUACAUACAUACAUACAUACAUACAUAUAUAUAUAUAUAUAUAUAUAUGUGUAUGUGUAUGUGUGCCACAUGCAAACAUACAUACACACAUAUACACAAUUCAAGAAAUGAGCACACUCACUGACUCACACUCGUCCUGCCACCGGUCACGCGUUGCACAAUGUCAUUACACACCCGCACACAACGCACACUUCUGGGUUAUCCGGGACUGGUAACUAUCAGCUAACACUUAUAUUGGUUAAGUCACUUAUUAAUUAAUAUUUACUUUUUUUUUCUUUGUUAUAUAAGGUAUCUUGGGGUACUGUGCUGUAUCUUGAUAAAGACUGAAAGGUCGGAAUAUUGAUCUUUUUUUUGCCAAAAUUUAAUAUACUGAUUUUGUUUUGUGGAAUCCUGGGAGUGCGCUCUUUUCUUGAAUUGGAUAUAUCUUCUGCGCUGUGCAGCAUAUAUAUAUAUAUAUAUAUAUAUAUAUAUAUAUAUAUAUAUAUAUAUAUAUAUAUAUAUAUAUAUAUAUAUAUAUAUAUAUAUAUAUAUUUUGUUUACUUAGGAUGAAUGCCAGACAAACCAAGUAUUGUUUAUAUAUACAGUUGAAUAUGAAUCCCAUAAAAAAUAAAAGAAAUGUGUCAAGGUGUUGUCAGGCAUAUUGUAACCUUUUUUUGCAGCAUUGACGCAGUAAAGGUUUCUUUCUGCCAACUCAACCAUGCAGCUCAUUUUUGUUCAAGUAUCGUCGUAUUUUGCUCCUUGAAACAAUCACACCGUCCUUUUCUAGAUCAGCCUGUAUUUCUCCUAAGGUUAUAUGUGGGUAUUUUUUAAUUGUAUCCCGAACAAUUCUUCUGGCAGUUGUGGCUGAAAUCUUUCUUGGUCUAUCUGACCUUGGCUUAGUAACAAGAGAUCCAGAAAUAUUUCACUUCUUGAAAAGUAAUUGAACAUUACUGACGGGCAUAUCCAAGUCUUUCGAUAUCUUUUUAUAUUCUUUUCCAUCUUUAAAAAGUUUCAUUACUUUGUUACUCAGGUAUUUUGUUAGUUCUUUUCUGCUCCCUAUGGUUCAGUAUCUAGCCUGCUCAGUGCAACCAUGCGAGAGCUAACAAACUCAUUGACUAUUUAUACACAAACACUAAUUACAAUUUAAAAAGCCACAGAUGUGGGAAAUUAAUCUUCAAUUGGCAUUUUAACCUGUGUGUGUCACCUUGCUUGUCUGUUACAAGGCCACACAUUGAAGUGUAUGUAAACUUUUGAUCAGGGCCAUUUGGGUGAUUUCUGUUAUCAUUAUGAUUUAAAAAGGAGCCAAACAACUAUGUGAUAAUGAAUGGCUUCAUAUGAUCACUGUCCUUCAAUAAAAAACAUUUUUUUGCAUGAUCACUCAUAUUUUAAAAAUCAUGCCAUAAUUUCUGCGGGGGUAUGCAAACAUUUGAGCACAACGAUAGACAGACCGACAGACAGAUAAAGAGAGAGAGAGAAAUAAAUGAAAAAAAAAUGUUUGCAGACAUACAAGCAAAUGCAUUUAAGUUGCACCGAUACAACUUAAAUGCAUUUUAUAGGUUUUUGCCUCAUUAAUGUGCAGUAUUUUUGUAUGAUCAAAUCUUUAUAGUUUUUGCACUAAAAAUCAAUGUUUUGUAGAAUGCUGCACCAGAAACCUGUCUUUUCAUCGACACCCUUUCAUUUCAGGAAAUACUUCUUUAUCAGUGUAAAUACACAGCUCAGCCACUUACAGUACUGGGUAAUCUGAGUAAGCAUGCAGUAGAAGGAGAGUACACCUAGGCACACAUUUAUGUGGUAAUCUACUAAAGUCCAAUGACAAAACCAUCCUAUUGCAGAUAGGGUAUUUGGACUGCAAAGUCUGGACAUUGUUCAUGCAACUUAACAUGUCUGGAUUUUGUAUUUUAGGCCACAGCCGGGGAGCUGAAAUCUGGAACAAUUGCUGCAAAUCAAAAGAGACACACAGAAGGGCUGGGAAAGGGGAGAAAGAUACAAAGGGGCUGGAGGGAGAAAGAGAAACACACAAAGGUGCUGAUAGGGAGAAACAACAUAUAAAGAAACUGAGAGGAGUAAAAAUCACUUAAAGGGUCUGGGGGUAAGAGACACACAAAGGGGCUGGUAGACGGAUUGAGGCCUGACACUUGAGCAGCAUGGAUGCCAUUCUUGAGCUGCUGUAAGUUGGUGAUAAAUCUAUUAGAAAUCUAGCUCUACCUUCUCUACCAGACAGUGCUGGGAACCUUUCGUGUUUUCUCAAAUGGAGAGGGAAGCUUGCCGUAGGCCUGGAGCCUACCCGCUCAUCCGACUGUUGAGGCCACCACGCUUGUUUCCAUGCCUACCUUGGAGGUUCUGAACCCAUCCCUUAUGCACAUGAUACUGUUUAGACCUACCUGUUUUAUUAUUUGUAAUCGUUUACCAAGCUAACUAACAGGAGCCAUCCAAACAGUACAGCAACUAUGGGUUAAAGAUCCCAUAAAUCUCAUGCGGAAGUGACUAGAGAUAUGGGGGCCUUAUUGCAUUGCCCAAGGCCUAGACGAAAGUGACCAUGCCAGAAUCAGAUGCUUGUUCCGCAUGCUCUGAAAUUACUCCAGAGAAACCCACAAAGCUCAUACUGCCUCUGAAAACCCCUACAGUACCGCCAGAUGGGGGUGCAUUCAUUCAGGAUACUAAACUUGAUAUCCUCAAACUUUUUCAAGCAGUGAAUGACCAUGUACAAGCCUCCAAAGAGGAUAUCCUGGAUGUGUGGCAGGAGGUACAGGGACUCAAGGAAAACCUACUCAAACUUCAGUCUUCCUACACUGCAUUACUCACUAAGCUGGAUCUCGACAAAUAUCGUAACUGGUGCAUUAAUAUUAAGAUCAGAGUCAUUCAAGACACAAUCAAUCCGACUGAAUUUCCCCACUAUCUUCGGCGUCUUACUACCACAAUACUACCACACAUUUACUUGAAAAAGCUCAUGUUUGAUGGCUGCUUCAGAAUCAGCCAAUGUAGACAGAAUGUAAUAAUCUAAUGCCACUUGCUCACAGACAAGAAUCAUAUCUUGGCAGCAGUGAGAGGCAAGAUUCCUAUCGACUUUGAGUCCUCUCAACUUGCUUUCUUCCAGGACUUGGCUAGAAAUAUGCUGCAAUGAAGAUGGGUAUAGUGACUAGCUGGCUGCGUGCUGCAGGUGUACACAGUAUUACUGGUAUUUGUUCCCAUAGCAUGUGAAUGCUCUAACACACAGAUGAUUACAAAUCUACUGGAUGCGCAAGAUACUGUUUAGACCUACCUGUUUUAUUAUUUGUAAUCUUUUACCAAGUUUUAGAGUAGGGCAUACUAUAUAGUACACUUGGAAUUACAUGGCAUAGUUUGGUGAUGGGUUUGGCCUCUUGCGACCUCUACACUAUCUCAACUUUCUCUCUCAUGUAGUCUACGCUCUUAUUGUCUUAUUGUCUUAAAGAAACUUGGUAUAUGUUGUUCAUGUUUUCAUGAAUGUUUUCAACUAAUGUUUAUAUAUUAUGUCAUCUGAACUCUUGCUUCUAGGUUACCAUAAGACCUCAAUAAAAAAGAGAUUGGCAAAAAAAUAAAGGGGUUAGGAGGAAUUAAGGGGCACACUACAUGGAACACUAGGGAUAAGGUAAAGGAGGUGUAAGAUACAAAUGGGGAUAAGCAAUACUAAAGAAGGCAAGACAUUUAAAAGAGUGGAUAAGAAACACAAAAGGAGGAAAGAUUCAAAAGGGGGUUAAGAGACACACAUGUGAAGAUAAUUAUUUUGAGGGGGGGCAAAAUGUGUCUAUGGCUGUGUAGCCAAAAUUACUUGCACCGGUCUUGCCAGCAGGCAAAUAGAACUUAAAAUUAUAAUAAGUUUUAAAGAAGGCAAGCGAAUAAUAAUUUGUGAAUGUGCAUUUGGUCCUUAUUUUUAUUAAAUCUGGUGCUUUGUAAAUCCCAUGAAAGCAUCCAUUUUAAUGAAGACACUGAAUGCAUCUGGUCAAUUGCUACAGAUGAGAAACCAAAUUCUCAUCUGUGGAACUCACUUCCCUCUGUUAGAUGCUCACCCAGUCUCCACUCCUUCAAAAAAUCAUUAACAACCCACUUCUUCGUAAAAGCGUAUCAAUUAAACUGUUAAUAGCUCCCGGCUGAUUCCUCUUUUGUAACUGUCAUUAGUCUAAUACUAUCCUUACCUUUUGUGUCACUUUACCUCACUCCCUCUAGCAUGUAAGCUCAUUGAGCAGGGCCAUCAACCCCUCUGUUCCUGUGUGUUCAACUUGUCUGGUUACAACUACGUGUCUGUUUGUCCACCCACUGUAAAGCGCUGCAGAAUUUGUUGGUGCUAUAUAAAUAAUAAUAAUAUACUAUAUAGGAUGCAAAAUUUAUUCCGGAUAGCAUGUAUUCACACUUUGGGGAUUAUGUGCUCAUUCUAAUUGUUUGUUGUAAGAUAGGGUUAAGCCCAAAGACACCUCUGGAGUGUCAACUAGUGAGCAGGUUCUAGGAAUUUUUUUUGUCUGGUUCCUGAAUAUUUUCUGUUUUUUCUCUUAAGUAAAUUUAGCUGCUCCCUAGUUUAGUGGUGAACAGGCUGAGAAUUUGCAUAAAAUGCAGGAAAUUCAUACAUUUUUUUUAUUAUUAUUAUUUGUACUUCAUUUAAUGCAUACCUAAUACAAAAAAAUAAUGGUUAAACUCUCAAUCUUUAAUCCUGUCGACUACUUUCAGACAGGCAGAUGUAUAUAAAACAAGUCAUUAUAAGAGAUAGGGGUAAUUCAGAAAUGACAUUAAAUAGCCAAUACGUGAUAAAUGAUAAAAAGCACCAAGGCUGGGGCUAAUAAUAAUAAUAAUAAUAAUAAUACAUUUAAUGCUAAUAUCAGAGAAAGGUAGAGCACAUUUACAGACAAAGUUUAGAAUGAUUACAAUUUUGGUUGUGGUUAGACAUAAUUGAAAAGAGACAAUGAUUUGCCAAAUUACAAUUCAAGCAAGAUCAAUACACAUAGAAUAGGAUGUGACAAAAAGAAAAUUAGUAAUUGAUGUGAAAAAGUAAUAUUCUUUGGAAAGGCUACAUUCUCUGUAGUUACCACUACUUUAACUUAAUCCUGUGAAAUUGAGAUUCCCAACAACAAGUAAAAAUGGACCUAAUCAGUAACGAUUAGACAAUUAAAGGCAGCCAUUGUAUCUUGUCUAUUGUAAGUGACUUUUGAAUAAUACUAUGUGACAUAAUUAGAUGAUUGUAAUAUAUCAUUAACAUUACAUGCACACUUUAAGAAUGAGAUUAUUAUUAACACAAUUCAUGAAAGAACUAUGUGAAUAACAGGCUUAUAAAGCAUAAUUAGAAUGGAAUAUUCUGCAAUUUGUGUCAUGAAUGCCAUAAAUAAUAUUUUCACUAUGCAUCUAACAACUAGUGAUUCAGAUUACAGAUAUGUCAUCUAAUAUCGCUACCUUAAAGUAAAGACAAUUCAAACGGAAGUUUGUAUAAAUAUUUAUAUAUAUAUAUAUAUAUAUAUAUAUAUAUAUAUAUAUAUAUAUAUAUAUAUAUAUAUAUAUAUAUAUAUAUAUAUAUAUAUAUAUAUAUAUAUAUAUAUAUAUAUAUAUAUAUAUAUAUGUGCAUUCUUAAACAUUGCUGGUAAAAAUGUGCUCAGCAUAAUAUAUGUUACUGUUGUGCACUACAGAGCCUCACUGGCAAAUUCUAUUAUGUAAUGAAUUUAUUUGAGGCAAGAUAAAAAAAAAACAUGUUUGUACUAUGUAUGUAUUAUAUACACACACAAACCUAUAUAUAUAUAUAUAUUUGUGCUCGGAAUUUAAAUAUGUAAUGGAUAGUAUCUGUGAGCAAAGUUGGUUGUGGUGUGCCGAAACCAACAUACGAGUGGGCCUGUAAAUAAAAGAGGGCCCACCAAGGAUAAUGUAGUUAAAACAGGGUGUAGGUGGGUGGGGACAAUCAGCUGAGCGGCAGCGGUGAGUAGGGGCUGGGAGUUUAAGUAGGGGACUUACUCCUCCCACAAAUUCAGGCCUAAUGGCCUUUCUACUUGUGCUCGGAAUUUAAAUACGUAAUGGAUAGUAUCUGUGAGCAAAGUUGGUUGUGGUGUGCCGAAACCAACGUACGAGUGGGCCUGUAAAUAAAAGAGGGCAAAAGAUAAAUUUGAGAAAAUACACACUUUAUUGCAUUUUACAAGACCAAGUUCCUGAAAGCUUGGCGAAGCUCUUUCUCCGGUUGCGGAAUAUAUGCGUUAUAUAUGGAGGAUUUCCAUCGCCCCAGCCUUUUGAUGAUGUGGACCGGUGCGUUUGUGCUAGAGGCUGCUGAGGCGGCUCCUAUACGGAAGGAGUGCCCGGAGAAUGCAGCCGGGUUGUGUCUGAGCUUAGAUAACAGGGUUCUGACAUGUAACAUCAAUUUUGCCGUGGUAAGCGGGUGCCCUUGUAAUGUUAAGAGCGGAGAGUCUGGCAGGUGAGCGUGAAGAGUUGACCGUAGUUGGUCGAGAACUUUCACCGGACACCAGGCAUUAUCAGUAGGGAAGAGAGGAAUUAUUGUAGGGUGUAGUGAUCGGUUGGUUUUAGUGGUAGGGAUAGAAAGUAGGUAGUGAUCCUCUAUCUUGGUGAGGUGUGAAGUUUUAAGGCUUAGCGCGAUAUCUCCUUGACAAACCACGGUGAACUCUCUAGGUCUGAGAAAACCAUAGAAAGCGAGAUAUAUAGCAGAUUUGAUCACCGUAUUGGUGUUGCUAUCAAAUGGGGCUGUGUCAAGGAGAUUGCUAAGUGACCUGAAGAUAGGCCAGUCUAUAGGUAAUCGAGUAGAGGUGAAACCUUUGAUAUACCUUUCAAGACCUUUUUAAUGGGGUAUGAUGACAAAAAAAGGAGUGCUGUUAGGAAAAUUGGUGAGGCUGUGGUGCUGAACCCAGGUGAGGUAAAGUUUAAUGGUGUUGUGCGACAGUUUAAGGUGUAGGUGGCAGAAAGAGGCAAAAGUCACCAUGGUUUGGAUAGAAAAGUCACCUUGUAGACCGAAUUCUGCAGUGAAUUUGUUAAAUAUGUUAAGUGCUCUAUUGUAAGUGAUAGCAGUGUUGAGUGAUAAUGCUUGGUGAGUGAGUGAUCUAGCGUGAAGCAAGAGUGUGCUUAAUCCAAGAUUAGUUCGUGAAACCGUGGUGUCCUGGAUGGCUGUUGGUGAGCCGUUGGGAGUGCCUGAGCACAUACUGAGAACAUACUAAGUGAAACUGACCGGAUGCUGCCAGCCAGGUCAACUUGCGAAUCAGCCGCAUGAUGAUCAGGGAUGAUGAGCGCCCUUUGUUAAUGAUAUCGCAAGCUGCCGAGUUAUCUGAGUAGCAUUUUACUGCCUUGCCGGACCAGAGAUGACCCCAGGUGUGUGCGGCCGCCACAAUGGGGUAAAUUUCAAAUAGGGCUGAGGUCUCCCUGAAUCCUGGCAAGGCAUCCGUCACAGUGGGCCAGUGGCCCCUAAACCAGUGGUUCCCGAAAAUGGCUGCGAAACCGGUGUUGGCUGCUGCAUCUGUGUGGAUGAUGGGUGGAGAGGUGGAGAGAGGGGGGAUAAACAUGGAGAUACCAUUCCAGUCUUUCAAAAACUUCCCCCACAUAGCUAAGUCAGCCUUGGCGUGGGGGUCCAAAUAAACUGUGCCGGAGUCCGGGACUCCGUGGAGCAGGCAAAGAAGUCUGGAUAUGAAAGACCUUCCCUGCGGAAUGAUGCGCAUGGCGAAGUUCAGAGAUCCGAGAAGGGACUGAAGUUCUCUCCUGGUGCAAACGUCAUUCCGCAGGAACGUGUCUAUCUCCCCUCUCAAGCGUGAAAGUUUGUCGUGGGGAAGGCUAGCUCUGAGUUUGACAGAGUCAAGCUCUAUGCCUAAAAAGGUCAACUUUGUUGUGGGUCCUAUAGUUUUGGCUGGGGACAAAGGGACUCCAAGUGUGGAAAAUAGUGCGGUAGUACUUUUGAUUGCUGAGGGUGUUGAUGACCCUGGCUCUAUCAGUAGAAAGUCAUCUAGAUAGUGAAUAAUGGAGUGACACCUGAUGACGUUCAGAAGCAGCCAGCAUAGUGACUCUGCGAAAAUGUUGAAAAGUUUGGGGCUGCUUCGAGAACCGAAAGUGAGUCGUGUUGAGAAGUAAUAAUUCCCUCGCCAUUUAACACCGUGUAAGUGCCAGAGUGAGGGGUGUAUGGGCAGUAAUUUAAAGGCGUUAGUGAUGUCUGUUUUGCUGCGCCAGGGUCGAUUACCAGAUGUCAUGAUGGACUGUAUGGCGUCGUCGAUGGUAACAUACUGAAGUGAGAAUUCGUCUACUGGAAUAAGUGGGUUUAUGCUUGGAACAAAAGAGGAGUGCGGUGCCGAUAAAUCGAUAAUAAGACUUUUUUUAUUAGAAUAUUUGUGAAUAGCAAUACCAAUAGGGUUAGUGCGCCAGGAGGAAAACGGUGAAGAGGUGAAGGGUCCGAUCAUGAAACCGUUAGUGGUUUCUGAGGAAAUGAGAGUGUCUAUAGCGACUGGGUCUAAACAUGCUGACUGGAGAUUAGGACAUUCUAGUGUACCUGGGGGAAUGGCUACUAUGCCUGUGUGAAACCCUUGUGAGAAACCUGUGGUGAGAAAAUCCACCAAGUGCCUGCUGGGGUGAGACCUUAGAUAAAAAACCAGGUUGUCGAUAUUUAUGUCGGUUAGUCAUUUGUUUGGUGACAACCUGUCUGGACACAUGGUCUUGGUAUAUGCCCUGAAACAUAUGGAGCAGAUGUGCAAUAAUCUACAGGCGCUGAAACUGCAGGAGCCUGCGUUGAAAUUAUUGCACACCUGCGCCUUACCUAAAAAGGAGAUGGGCCUACCCAGCUUAUCCCGAAGACCACCCGCUGGCUUGUUGUGAGGGGUGAAAGUGGAGUGAGGUGUGAACGUGGGGUGAGGGGUGGGAGUGGAGGUGGUGGGAUCUGAUUUGACGGGACAUAAGUCCGCCAUGUGGGAUGUAGAAUUACAGAUGGCACAAGCCGGGGGCCUGAGUCCAGCGAAGUGGCGACAGAAAAGUUCUGUGUCCAUCUGACCCCAGUUCAUUCUAAUGUUGAACUGCUUGAGAUGGGUCGCCGCCUUCGCUGAAACUGACUUGUGGUAGUCAUAGAAGGAAGAGUCCCCGUACUUGAUGCCUAGAUCCACUACCUUGUGGAGAUAGAGAUCUAGCUCUUCUCUCCUAUGGGGAUACACCGUGCAAAUGACGUUGCGGUAUAUCCCGAAAGCUAUCACGAACUGGGGGAUAGACAAUUUUUUAUUGAGCCUGGGAUUCCUCGUUUUGAGCACGACUGAAAUUUCACCAUAGUUGUAUGCCUUGUUCUCGAGUAUAUCCUGAGAGGCUAUGAGUAAAGACACCAGACACACAUCCUUCCCGUCUAGGAUAUCUUUCCUGAUAGAGUCUGGGACGGAGUGUGCUGGUGACUCGAAUGGUGUGAUGGCUGUGCCAGGUGCUGGAGGGGGGAGUAUAGGGGGGCAUGUAGGUAUAGCAGGUACAGCCGUGGUAGAGACUGGGACUUCGGUGUUAGUACCUGAGGAGGAGAUGGCGCUCUCCACCUUAGAUAGCCUGCUAUUGAGGGUCUGUAGAUUGGCCAAGAUAUCUGCCAGGGUAUCCUGGGUGGCCGUGCUGUUUCUUGGUGGUUGUCCUUGAGAGCUAGUUCCAGGCCUAGGCUUGGGGGCUUGGUGGGUAAGCAGCCUGUAAAGUUCUGCCUUUCUAGCUGUGGCCGGAAAGGGGAUUCCCCUGAGCCUAAGCUCGGCCGUGAUUUUGGGAAUAGUCCAUGCUCUCAAGGACAUGGGGGUUGAAAGAGUGAGUGAUUCGCCUGGAGACACGGGUCUGAUUGGCGUGAAUGGUGUUUCUUCUGUCAGUUCUUCGGUUGGAAUUGGUUCUUGGGACAUUCUAAAAAGGAAUGAUUAUAUGAAAGAUAUAUUAGAAGGGGUAAGUAGGGGGGUAUGGGGAGUGGUGUAUCUGGAAGAACUGGACUGUAAUGCUAGAUGCCGAGGCGAAAAACUUAACUGUUGAAUGACUGGAUAGGUGAGGCCCUGCUAAUGCCAAGUGGCGGUGAGAGGCUCUACCUAUGAUUUGGCUUAUGACGUAGGUGCCACAGACGUGGUGGCGGGAUAUUGGCCUCUCGGUGACGAUAAGAUAAAUAAAAACGUGUGGCCGUGACAGGUGAGGCCCUAACUAGAGCCCUGUAGUAGGGCAUGCGAGGCUUAUAACUACGGUUUGGGCGUGGGGCCGUACCUCCGUGUUGAGGUGGGGUGGGGGUGAUAGGCCUCGCAGGAUCAGAUUUCCUGAUAGGGUGGGCUAAGGCAUUAGCCUGUGCCCUAUAGCCAGUUCGAUUGUAUGCUUAAGGGUAAAGUGAGAGGACUGGAGUGGUGUGUGGAUACUAACCUUGACUGGUCGCAAAUGGUAUCUAGAGCCUCCUGAUAAGUGUAGAGAGUCUUGUCUUAAUGCUGUCUUUGAGGAAGAAUCCUGAGGGUUUAAGACAGAUGUUGAUGUAUUUAUACAUAUCGUGAUGUCGUAUGAAUAGUAUUGGGAGAAGGUUUGUUAGGGACGCAACGUGAGAUCCUGCAUUGAGGGAUCUGGGAGGUUAGGUGUAAGAAUGGGAUGAUUUUAGAUAUUAGUGAGAAGGCAGAAUGAGGCCUUGGGGUAGCGAAC